UUUUUUUGGUCCAUUAAAAACUUCAAGAACUUUGAGAGUGAAUAAUGUAUGACUGUACUCUUCUCUAUCUCUCUGGUCAUAGCACACGUAUGAUUUGGUGCUUUUUUGCAGGCUUUCAACAGCAGAAAAGCAUCUGGAGGCUUGCAGUACUAAUCUCUUGCAUUAUAUUCUCUGUUUUGCAAUCAUUUGGUACUUUUUGUCCCAACCAAGGAUAGCUCUGUGCAAGCAGUCUCGACUGUGGAACAAGUAAAACAAAUGGUACCUGCUGAAGCUGAGAGGGCAGAUGAUAAAUUGGUGCGGAAGUUGGUCAACCAAAAGAAUCAGACAGCAAAAACUAAAAAGCCCAUGAAGCCUGCUACUGAAGCGAUCUCAGCACCUGUUUCUAGGAGGGGUGAGAUUGAAGCGACUGAAGAAAAGGAGCAUGAGCAAACAAAGAAGGAAGAGGAGUUGGCCAGGAAGGUAGAGGAAUUGAGAAGUGAAGAAGAAGCAGCCAUGUUGAAGGAGCAAAGUCUGUCGGAGGAGAAAGCCAACGUUAAGGAGGCACUGGAAAGGAAACAAGGAACUGCAGAAAAGGCCAAUUUCUCUGUGAGUGCUGCCACCUUUUCAUAAUAAUGGAUGUUAAAAGCAGUCUAACUCUACAUGGCGUUUAUUUUCCCCAGCCAUGGAUUGGAAUCUGCCAGUCUAACUCUCAUAAGAAAGAAAAUUUUCCAUCCUCGUAUGGAUUAUUGGAGAAGAUUUUAACAUGGAGUUCACUAGAGAGUUUCAAACACCCACUCAAAAAGGACAUUUUAGAGAACUUAUUGAAAAGUUACAUCAGAGUACAUAAAUUUUUAGAUAUUUUUAAAAAUAUCUGAAAAAUUAAAUUAACUAAAAGUAUUUGAAAAAUAUUUGAUUGAAUUAAUAAAUAACUAGUAUUUGCAUAUGAAAAAAUAGUAAACAUAGUCAAUAAUAUUUUUUUUUUAAUAAUUAGCACAUAAUAAUCAUAAAUUAUUUUAUGGCAAGACCUCAUAUUUGUUGUGGUGACUGUGUUGUCUUACCAUUCUUCUUUCAUGAUGGGCUUAAAUUUUAAUUUAAAUGUAGUAUAAAUAUAUAAUUAGAUUGAUAUUUCGUCCACUAGAAUUGAUUGGGGCUGAAUUUGAACCCUGGUUCGAGUCAUACUCCCAUCCAAUCCAAACUUGUGGUUGGGCUUGAAUUUCUUGGCCCAACCAGCGAAAUCAUUGACCAACGGCCCUUAGUUUGGGCUGGGCUUGAUGGUCCUCAGGUUAUGCAGGCUUAAUACUGAUUGGGUUUGGGCUUCCAUGCAGUUGUACUUGGAUUCUAUGUUUCCUAAUAUUAACACUAAAUUAGGUUUCAUUUAUAAUUAAAUAUAAUUAGUUUGAGACUAACUCCAAUCUUUAGUUAAACCAACUAAGUUUUAUGCAAAGGUUUAUAUUCCUAAUACCAUUGAAAAACUAAAUUUAUGUGGAAGUUUGACUAAGUGAUACCGACAUUAAAUUAUUAAGAUAAAUUGAAAAAAAAAAAAUCAUGCUCGUAUGUCCUGUUGUUUGUCAUAAGAAAAUUUCUUUUCAGAUUUUUUUUUUCUUUUAAUAUAUCUUUACUUUUUUAAUAACAAUCCAUAGGAUUGUUCCCAAACAUAUAUCAUAUAAAUAUAUCUUUUUUGGAUUUUUAAGAAUGUUGUCAAACAAACUCAUAAUACCAUUCUUUCUUAACAAUUACCAAUCCAUAUGACGAAUUUAUUACUUUCAAUAACUGACAUCAUCUAAUCAAAAUUAUAAUUAUAAUUAUAAUUAUAAUUAUAAUUAAGUAUUAUAUUAAAAGAGUGUUUGAUAAAUCAAUUUAAUAACUUAAAUUAAUUUAAUAACUUAAUUUAAAUUAUUAAAAUAAUUUGAUGUCACAAUUUAAAGUUAAAAAUGACUUAAUUUAUUUUUAUUUAAAUUUAAAAUUAUGUUUACAAAAAAGGUUUAAAAUUCAUAUCAAUUAAGAGAUUAAGUCAUUGAAUUACUUUAAGUCAUUAAAUUGAUCUACCAAUUAAAGUUCACCUCCUACAUAUCAUGAAAAUUAAAAAUUAAUUACAACAUCAAGAAUCUUUAGUUCCUAAUCGAUAUAAUAUUUAAUCCUUGGUUGUAAAUUUCUUUACAUAUGUAGAUAUAUUUUUAUAUUGCAAGUGGGUUGCCGACUUUUCAUUUUAUACUAGUUUUGAAAAUAAGAUUGUAGUUUUUAUUUUGUCCAAAUCUAAUUUGGAGGGAGAAUCUUUUAUAUUCAAAUAGGAAAAAUUUAAGUUUAAUAGUCCCACCUUAUAAAGGCAAAUAUCUUGGACCCUACAUGGGUGCCUCUUACAUGCACAAGGACAAAGACUUUUCAAUUUCUUUCUAGAUUUUUUUUUUCUUUUUGUUCUUUUCAAUUCUAGAUAUUUUAAUAUAUCUUUACUUUUUCAAAAACAAUCCCAAACAUUUUUUAAGAUUGAUUUUUAAGAAUGUUAUCAAACAAACUCAUAAUAGCAUUUUUUUCUUUACAAUUACCAAUUCAUAUGAUGAAUUUAUUACUUUCAAUAACCGACAUCAUCUAAUCAAAAUUAUAAUUAAGUAUCAUAUUAAAAGAGUGUUUAAUAAAUCAAAUUUAAUAACUUAAAGUGAUUUAAUAACUUAAUUUAAAUUAUUAAAAUAACUUGAUGUCACAAUUUAAAGUUAAAAAUAACUUAAUUUAUUUUUGUUUAAAUUUAAAACUAUGUUUACAAAAAAAGGUUUAAAAUUCCUAUCAAUUAAGAAAUUAAGUCAUUAAAUUACUUUAAGUCAUUAAAUUGAUCUACCAAUUAAACACCCUUUAAGAUAUUAUAUAAAGCUCACCUCCUACAUAUCAUGAAAAUUAAAAAUUAAUUACAACAUCAAGAAUCUUUAGUUCCUAAUCAAUAUAAUAUUUAAUCCUUGGUUGUAAAUUUCUUUACAUAUGUAGAUAUAUUUUUAUAUUGCAAGUGGGUUGCCGACUUUUCAUUUUAUACUAGUUUUGAAAAUAAGAUUGUAGUUUUUAUUUUGUCCAAAUCUAAUUUGGAGGGAGAAUCUUUUAUAUUCAAAUAGGAAAAAUUUAAGUUUAAUAGUCCCACCUUAUAAAGGCAAAUAUCUUGGACCCUACAUGAGUGCCUCUUACAUGCAUAAGGACAAAGACUUUUUGAAAGCCUCCCCCAUUCAUAUGGAUGCCAUCAUUCAUCGAAGUUGAAACACGAAACCCAAACAAAAUAUUUGAGCAAAAGCAACUUCAAUAUUUUUUUCAUAACUAUAGCUGAGAAUCUCAAUAUUAUUAAAUAGUGACAAAAUUAAUUUCAAUAUUUUUUUUCUCUUAUUUUUUCCUCCUUGUGGUUAUAUUUUCAAAUAGAAAGUAUUAAAUAUUUAAAAAAUAAAAAAAUCAUAAAAAAUAAUUUUUCAUAUUUAAUUAUUCUAUGAAAAAUAUAAAGUAAAAUAAAAUAUAAUUAAAAUUAGUUAAAAAUUUAUAUUUUUAUGAAAUUAUUUAAAUUAUUUAUAAAAAUUUAAAAUAAGUGACAUGAGUUUGAAAUAGUAUAUAUGUUGACUUUAAUUAUAUUUAGUUAAAGUUUUCUAUCAUGCCUAAGUUUAAUUAGUUCUACUUAUAUGAAAUUUAUACAUCGAAAUGAAAGUAAGCAUAUAUUUAAGUGGCCCAUCAAAUUUGAAACUAGUCUAUUGUAAUUACAUUCAUAUCUAUAUCAUUUAUAUUAUACAUAACUUGAGUAUAUUAAAAAUUGUACAAAAGAUCCAAAUCACAAGAAAAUUUAUAUAAAUUCUCUUAAGGGUUUAGGAUUAGACACUGUUAGCCAUUGUCUUCUAAAAAACUUUCAUCGCUUUCUCUCUCAAGAGGUUUGUAGCCACUUUACACAAAUGCCAAGACUCAAAGGAAUGAUCUAGUGAAAAUGAUGAGGUGAUUGAGAUCCUCUUCAUAAACUAGAGUUUGAUAUGGGAACAUUCAUAUUGAAGGUAAAAACUUUUAUCAACACCUAGACUUACUAUUAUAUUCCGUUAUAAUUAACCCCAAUAAUCCUAGGUUGUUAGAGAGCAUACACCUAUGAUCCAAGGGUUUUCCCAACAAAGAUAUCAAUAAAUCUUUCUAUUCCAUUGAUGGUAUCUUGAAUUCUUUCAAAUUAAUCACUUCAUUGUAAUCGUUAUUCACUUCAUUGUGAUUUGUCAAAUAAUAAUUCAUUUAUGCAUCAUGGUUGUGCCUUGAGGUAAGGCUUUAGAGGCAUAAGCCUCAAAAGCCUCUUAAAAUUGGUUCUACUUAUGCCUCUAUAGCCUCUUAAAAUUGGUUUUACAUUUCUUGCAUGAUGAAUGCAAGUUCCAAAUUUUGAUGACUUGGUAAUGUUGGAGUAAUUGGGUUGAAAGGAGUUAAACACAAACAAUUAUUAAAGAAGAUAAAAAUUUGGAAGAAUUAAAAUUUUAUUGUAUUCUACCACUCUCUUUUUUAUUCAAAUAUUACAUAACCUUUUAUUUAUAGAUGCUCACACUUAACUAAAAAUGAUAUAAUUAAAAGUAAAUUAUCAUUUGAUUGCAAUGGAUUCAAUAGAAUAUGGUGGAUAUGCUAAAUUUUUGUCUGUCAAUAAAAUUUGAUUUGAGUGAAUAUAAUUAGAGUAAAAUAGUCUUUUUUAACUGUCACUUUUACAAUAAAAAGUGUUUUAUUUAAAUAAAUAUUUAAUAAAAAUUUAAAAAAAAUUUAAAAAAAUAAUUAUAGUGUUUUCUAAGAAACAUUUGAUAAAUAAUUAUUAUAAAAACACUUCCUCGAAAAUACUUCAAAGUUAGUUGGAUGGUAAGUUAUACAUCAAGAUCUUAAUGAUGGUCCAUGCAACCAUCACCAUUGAUUGUUUUCGAAAACACAACUUCAAUUUAAAUAAUAUUUUAAGGCAACUCCUAGUUAUCAUAUUUUACAAGAUAUUUUUUAAAAUUAUUGUUCUUUUUCUUUCAAAAUCCCAAGAGAGAGGUCACCAAUAUCAAAAUAAUGUGACCCAUCUCUAUACUAUUAUCUCCAUUAUUUGGACUAUAUCAUAAUUUCCUUAUCGACAACAUGGUAGCCACGAUUAAAUACCUACAACUUUGAAAACAAGAUCUCAAAACUAUGCUUAUUUGAUUAUAAGGCUUAAUUAUUAUAGUUUAUCAUUUCCUAGCAUAGUUCUUAGCAUCUAGGUAUUUGUUCUAUAAUAAUUUUUCUCAUUUUUCAAGCUUGCAUUUUGUUUAGAAUUUUUUUGAGUUGUUUACAAUCAUUUUGAAAAUGUCAACUCAUAAUUGUAUACAUUUUAGUUCUUGAAGGACUAAAAUCACUAAACAUCAUGGUAAUACUAUUUAAGGUAAUUUGCUUUAAAUGAGAAUGAACUUAUAUACAACUUACGAUUUAAGGUAAUAAUAGAGAUCCAAUUUAAAAAUACAUAAGUUUUCAAUUAAAUAUUAGUAUAUUUAUGUUUCCCUCUUAUUUUUAAUCCUAAAACACAUUAAAUGUAUGUUCUUGAAUUCCUCCAUGUUUUUGAUGUAAUGCGAUUUGAUAUAAUGAUAAAUCAACUAUUAUGAUUUAAUAAUAUGGAGCUUUGACUUUUGACAUUUAAGUAACACUGUCAAUGAAAGCUCCAUUAUUUUUGCUUCAUGGAAAAACAAAUGAUGUGAUUGAAUUACACUUCAAUUAUGUUUGAUUCUUUGAAAAUACUCAAGAAAAAUAAAUAUUUUUAAAAAUAAUUUUCUCAUAUUUGAUUUUGUUAGCCCAAGGGUUCUCCUAAUUGGGUUUUGAUGAUAACAAACCAUGGUUAAGUGACUAAUUGGUUUAAUGAUUAAGAACCUCAGGUAUAAACUCGAAAAUUCAUCAAAUGACCAAAUGGAUACAAGAUCGAGACGCUUGGAAGACUUGUGAUCAUAGGAAAUUAAUGUAAGAUGAAUGCAUAAGUGCACUUAGGAUUUUCACACGUUUCAUGCAUUUUAGAAAACUCGGUUUAGUCUUUAAAACGUCGAUUUCAUUAAAACCCGAGUUUUUAACUAAUGUACCUUAGGAAAAUUGUUUUAUAAUUGGCUUAAUAAUUUUCCUAAAGACAUUGCCUAAGUGUUAGAAAAGAAAGGAAUAAAAAAAAAUAUAGGUUUUUGGGGCCAAAAAGGCUUAACCAGUCGAGGUUAUGGCCAACCGGCUCAACCGCUUGAGGAACCGGUCGACCGGUUGACCUCGUUCGGUCGAGGAUGCACCAAAACCUUCUCUCUUUCCCAGUGGCCUUCUCUCGUUCGGUUGACCGCUUGAGGUGAUUUUCUUACCGGUCGAGGUCCGGUUGAGGCAACGGUAAUCUGUCAUGCAUUAUAUGCUCCAAUGGCUAGUGAACCGAUCGACCCUUAGCUCGACCAGACGAGGUUACCUUUUGCUAUUUUGGACUCCCGAGCUUAGAAACCUAUAAAUUGAGAGCUCUAAUUCUUUUAUUGACAAGAGAACACUUGCAUUCAAUAGCCUACCUACCUGUUCUUGAUCAAAAAGCUCUCAUUUAUUUCAUAGUGCAUUAAAUCACCACUUGCAUAUCCUUUAGUGCACUCUUGUGUGUCAUCCUAGCUUUAUCUUGUAUUUGAGCUAUCCUUAAGUUAGGUUGAGGGAUUAUAUCUAGUAAAAAUCUGAGUGUUAAAGCCUUUAAGAGGGUUGAAUCUUGAAGUGGUUGUGGAAGAGCCCAUUGGAGCCGGAAUCCAAGUGUAAGAAGAUUGGAAGCUUAGUUGAAGCUUUAAGUUAGUGGAACCCUCACUCAGUUAGGAGGUUGAGGAGAGUGGAUGUAGGCAAGGAAGUUCUGAACCAUUAUAAACCCGAGUUUGAAUUCUCUAAACUCUAUCUCUUUACUUUGCUUAUAUUGUGUUUGAAUUUUUUGUGAUUAAAAAUAUUUUAAAAACCCAAUUCACCCCCCCCCCCCCCCCCCCNNNNNNNNNNNNNNNNNNNNNNNNNNNNNNNNNNNNNNNNNNNNNNNNNNNNNNNNNNNNNNNNNNNNNNNNNNNNNNNNNNNNNNNNNNNNNNNNNNNNCAUAUAUUAAAUCAUAAUAGUUGAUUAUCAUUAUAUCAAAUCGCAUUACAUCAAAAACAUGGAGGAAUCCAAGAACAUACAUUUAAUGUGUCCCCCCCCCCCCCCCCCCUUUUGGGUGUUUUUCUUAACUAAGCAUGGCCUUUGUUUUCUCAAUUGGCAUCAGAGCUAGACCUCUUGUGUUUUAAAAGACUUAAUCGUCUAAGAGGAAAUGACUAUUCCAUCAAGCUCAUCCUCAGUUAAAAAUUUUUCAAAACAUAAAGCUCCAUUCUUUACGAGAACCGACUAUCCCUAUUGGAAAACCAGAAUGACUUGGUAUUUGCAAUCUACUGAUUUAGAUGUAUGGGAUGUCAUUGAAGAUGGCCCAACUUUUCCUACUAAACUAGUUGAUGGAGUUUUGGUUCCAAAACCCAAGCAAGAAUGGAAUGAGCUUGAUAGAAGAAACUUUCAAUUAAAUGCUAAAGUCGUUUUUACUUUGCAAUGUGCUAUGGAUAGAAAUGAAUAUAAUAGAAUAUGUCAAUGCAAAUCAGCUAAAAAAAUUUGGAGGUUGCUUGAAAUAACUCAUGAAGGAACUAAUCAAGUGAAAGAGUCAAACAUCAAUUUACUUGUUCAUAACUAUGAAUUGUUUUCAAUGAAAGAAACUGAGACUAUUGUUGAGAUGAUUACUAGGUUCAGCGACAUUGUCAAUGGUCUUGAAGUUUUGGGAAAAACCUACAAGGAAUCCGAGAAGGUGAUGAAGAUAUUGAGGUCUCUCCCAUCAAAGUGGCAUACCAAGGUCACCGCAAUUCAAGAAGCAAAAGACUUGACUAAGCUACCUAUGGAAGAGCUCAUAGGGUCAUUAAUGACAUAUGAGAUCAAUUUGACAAAGAAGCUACAAGAGGGUGAAGACAAAAAGAAGAAUAACAUAGCCCUUAAAGCUACAACCAAGGAAGAAGAAGAUGUUGAAGAAGAAAAGCCAAGUGAUGAAGAUGAUGAUUUAGCCCUUAUCACAAGAAAGCUCAACAAAUACAUAAGAGGUGAAAGGUUUAGAGGAAGGAAAUUCACCUCUAGAAGGGAUCCUUCUAAAAAAGGAAUCUUCAUCCCAUAGUGACAAGGAGAAAUGGGAAGAGAAAAGAGAUUUGACAUGCUUCAAGUGCAAAAAGCCGGGACACAUUAUAUAUGAUUGUCCUCUCUACAAGAGUAAAGCCAAGAGAAGAAUGAAGAAGGCAAUGAUGGCCACUUGGAGUGAAAGUGAAGAAUCCUCCGAAGAAGAAAAUGAGGAAGGAAGUGGAAAACAUGUGCUUCAUGGCAAUAGAUGAUCAUGAUGAGGUAAACUCUAACUUUAGUGAUGAAGAUAUGCAUGAUGUUUUUGAAGAAUUAUAUGAGGAUUUUGAAAAACUUAAUUUGAAAAAUAAUUCUCUUAAAAAGAAAAUUGAAGAACUUGAAAAGGAACUUGAAGAAGUGAAAGAAAAAUUUUCAAUUGUUGAAAUAUCUAAAACUCAUCUUGAAAAAGAAAAUGAGAUUUUGAGAAGUGAAAAUGAGAUUUUGAAAAAAAAAAAAAAUGAAUGGUUAACCUUCUCUCUUUCAAUUUUCUCUUGUGGACAAAAAUAUUUUGAAAUGAUCUUAGCUAGCCAAAAAUGUGUCUUUGACAAACAAGGGCUAGGAUUCAAAUCAUCAAAAAAUCAAAAGUAUUUAAAAACUACUUUGUAAAAGAAUCCACAAGUGCAAGUCCUUCCACCAGUUGCAACUUUUGUGGAAGAGGAGGGCACAUUAGUAGUACAUGUCCCUUAAGAAAUGGUUCUCAAAAGAAUUUAAAUGCUAAAGCUAAAAAGGUUUGGGUUGAGAAAUCCAAGGUCACUAACUCUCAAGGACCCAAAAAAAUAUGGGUGCCUAAAUCAACUUAAAUUUUAUUUUGUAGGGAUCAAAGAAGGAUAAGUGGUUCUUGGAUAGUGGAUGCUCAAGACACAUGACCGGGGAUGAAUCCAAGUUUGCUUUCCUUACAAAGAGAAAGAGAGGAUACAUUACCUUUGGAGACAAUUCAAAAGGAAGGAUCAUUGGUCAAGGCAACAUUGGUAAUGCCACAUCCUCCCUUAUUGAAAGUGUUUUAUUAGUGGAUGGUUUAAAACAUAGUCUUUUGAGCAUAAGUCAACUUUGUGACAAAGGUUUUAAAGGGAUUUUUGAAGAAUCUCAUUGCAUCAUCAAAGAUAUUCAAAAUGAUAAAACCAUCUUCAUGGGCCAUAGAUGUGACAAUGUUUAUGCAAUAAAUAUUUCAAAAUAUGAUGGUCAUGAUAGAUGCUUUUCAAGCAUGCAUGAUCAAAGUUGGUUGUGGCAUAGGAGGUUGGGACAUGCUAACAUGAACCUCAUUUCCCAACUCAACAAAGAUGAACUUGUUAGAGGCCUUCCCAAAAUAAAUUUUCAAAAAAAUAAAGUUUGUGAAGCUUGUCAAAUCGAAAAGCAAAUAAAAAACUCUUUUAAAAACAAAAAUUUCAUUUCAACAACUAGGCCUUUUGAAUUGUUGCAUAUAGAUUUAUUUGGUCCCUCUUGGACACCAAGCCUUGGAGGAAAAUCUUAUGCUUUUGUUAUUGUAGAUGACUUCUCUAAAUACACUUGGGUCUUAUUUUUAAGUCAAAAGAAUGAAGCCUUUUAUGAGUUUUCAAAGUUUUGCAACAAUGUUCAAAAUAAAAAAGGUUUUACAAUUACUUGUAUAAGAAGUGAUCAUUGGAAAGAAUGUGAAAAUAUUGAUUUUGAAGACUAUUGCAAUGAGCAUGGUAUUAACCACAACUUUUCGGCUCCUAGAACUCCUCAACAAAAUUGGGUAGUUGAAAGGAAAAAUAUAACUCUUCAAGAAAUGACUAGAACCAUGCUAAAUGAAAACAAUUUACCAAAAUACUUUUGGGCCGAAGCGGUUAACGCUUCUUGUUAUGUUUUAAAUAGAAUUUUAUUAAGGCCUAUUCUUAAGAAUCUCCCUAUGAGCUUUGGAAAAACAAGAAACCCAACAUUAGAUAUUUCAAAGUCUUUGGGUGUAAAUGCUUUAUUUUAAACACCAAAGACAAUCUUGGAAAUUUUGAUGUAAAAUCGGAUGUUGGAAUUUUACUUGGUUACUCAACUUCAAGUAAAGCCUUUAGAGUUUUUAACAAAAGAACCAUGGUUGUUGAGGAGUCCAUCCAUAUUAUCUUUGAUGAAUCUAACAAUUCUCUCCAAGAAAGACAGAGCUUUGAUGAUGAUCUAGGCUUGGAGACCUCCAUGGGAAAAUUAAAAAUUGAAGAUAGAAGGCAACAAGAAAAAGUUGUAGAGGAUCCCAAGAAAGAAGAAUCACCUUUGACACUACCUCAUCCUCAACAAGUGCAAGGUGAAUCAAGCCAAGACCUCCCUAAAGAUUGGAAGUUUGUCAUCAACCACCCACAAGAUCAAAUUAUAGGUAAUCCAUCUAGUGGGGUAAGAACUAGAUCAUCUCUUAGAAAUAUUUGCAAUAAUCUUGCUUUUAUCUCUCAAAUUGAACCUAAAAAUAUAAAAGAUGCUCUAGUUGAUGAAAAUUGGAUGAUUGUCAUGCAAGAAGAGUUAAACCAAUUUGAAAGAAGUGAAGUAUGGGAAUUAGUGCCAAGACCUCAAAAUCAGAGUGUUAUUGGAACUAGAUGGGUCUUUAAAAACAAAAUGGAUGAAAAUGGUAUAAUUAUAAGGAAUAAAGCAAGAUUGGUAGCCCAAGGUUUUAAUCAAGAAGAAGUGAUAGAUUAUGAAGAAACCUUUGCUCCCGUAGUUAGAUUGGAAGCCAUUAGGAUGCUACUUGCCUUUGCAUGUUUUAAAAACUUUGUUUUAUAUCAAAUGGAUGUGAAAAGUGCUUUCUUAAAUGGCUUUAUAAAUGAAGAGGUAUAUGUUGAACAACCACCCGGUUUUCAAAGUUUUAACUUUCCUAAUCAUGUUUUUAGACUUAAAAAGACACUUUAUGGUUUGAAACAAGCACCUAGAGCAUGGUAUGAAAGAUUGAGUAAAUUUCUUUUGAAAAAGGGUUUUAAAAUGGGAAAAAUUGACACAACUCUUUUCAUAAAAACCAAAGAAAAUGACAUGAUCUUAGUGCAAAUAUACGUUGAUGAUAUCAUUUUUGGAGCUAAUAAUAUCUCUCUUUGUGAAGAAUUCUCUAAAUGCAUGCAUAGUGAGUUCGAAAUGAGCAUGAUGGGAGAAUUUAACUUCUUCCUUGGACUUCAAAUCAAGCAACUAAAGGAAGGAACCUUCAUCAAUCAAGCAAAGUAUAUAAGAGAUCUCCUCAAAAGGUUAAAUAUGGAGGAAGCCAAAACAAUGAAAACUCCAAUGAGUUCAUCCAUCAAGCUUGACAUGGAUGAGAAAGGUAAGCUCAUCAACUCAACUAUGUAUAGAGACAUGAUAGGUUCUUUGCUAUAUUUGACCACUAGUAGACCCGACAUCAUGUAUAGUGUAUGCUUGUGUACUAGAUUUCAAUCUUGUCCUAAAGAAUCUCAUUUAAGUGUUGUAAAACAAAUUCUUAGAUAUUUAAAAGGGACUAUGGACAUAGGCCUAUGGUAUCCUAAGUGUGAUAAUUUUGAAUUAAUUGGAUACUCGGAUACCGACUUUGCCAGUUGUAAAGUUGAAAGGAAAAGCAUUAGUGACACUUAUCAUUUCCUAGGACACUCACUUGUUUCAUGGCAUAGUAAGAAGCAAAAUUCAGUAGCUUUGUCUACGGCGGAAGCCGAAUACAUAACAGCCGGUUUAUGUUGUGCACAAAUCCUUUGGAUGAAACAAACACUUGGUGAUUUCAAUUUGAUUUUUGAGCAUGUUCCUAUAAAAUGUGAUAACACUAGUGCCAUAAACAUUUCAAAAAAUCCGGUACAACACUCUAGGACUAAGCAUAUAGAGAUAAGACACCAUUUUCUUAGAGACCAUGCACAAAAGGGUGGCAUUACACUUGAAUUUGUAAACACAAAAUAUCAACUUGCCGAUAUUUUUAUAAAACCCCUAAGUGAAGAGCAAUUUUUUGAUAUUAGAAGACAACUAGGGGUGAUUUCUUUAUGAUCAAAUGAUUGCUUGAUGAAUUCUUAAUUGAAUAUACCUUAUGAUUGUGUGAAAUUCAUAUCAUAUGCAUCAUAUAGAAAUAAUCCUAGGAAAGAGGUCAAAUUUUGACCAAAAAUCAAAAUUCUCGUGGCAUUGGACAUAAAAAAUUGGGGAUUUCUACUGAAAAGGGUAGAAGGAGGAUCACAAGACAAGAAAAUGCAAAAAUUUUGGAAAAUUUGACCGUUGACCAAGCGGUCGACCGAUUGAGGAAUCGGUCGAUCGGUUCGUCGGGGCUAGGAACCCCACACUUCAUUUCUCACCUAUUCUCUUCCAUAGCUUGAAGCCCCUUCACAUACCUGCUUCCAGAGGCCAUUUUGGGUUGGAUUUUGGAUUGAUUGAAGGCUUUGAGUGGAUUUUGGGACGCAUUUAAGCUAGGGUUUCAAUCUGAAACCUAGGGUUUUCAGAUUUGGGAGCGUCUUCUCUCUGCACCGCGUGCCUCAAGGUUGAUUUAGCUUCAUCUCCGUGCGCCUAGGGCUUCGGGUUGGUGGUUGCUCCUUCUUAUUUGAUUUCAUUCUCUUUUUGGACUCCUCCUUCUCCUUUCCAUUCAUUGGAUGGCUCCAAGGCGAGAGACGGGCACCUCCGAAAGGCGAGGUAUGACACGACCCUCUUCAGUUCGGUUGAAAACUAUCAGCGCUACAAGCAAAAGUUUGCCCAGAGAAAAGUUGUCCCAGGGAGAAGUGUCAAUUUCUCCCAACUUCAGCACUUCGGGUUUAAGAGACUAUUCGAUCGGAUGGGAUGGCUGCCAGUUGUGACCAUUUCUGAGUCGAUCUUCCCGACUCUGGUGCUGGCUUUUUAUUCACGGGCGACCUAUGGGCUUGGAGGACCUAUAUUGUCCACUGUGAGGGGAGUUGAGAUCAGAUUGAGUCCCAAGAGUAUCUAUCGCAUUCUCGGCAUCCCUUCCGUUGGACUCCAAGUGUAUGAGGCCAAGGCGUGGCCCAUUGUGUCAGGAUUCUAGCCUAGAGAGGCUGUUCAGAGGUUGUGUGAACUCGUAGAUGCCCAGGGGAUGGGCAAACCAUUAGCACACAGCCUAACCAUGCCCAGCCGAGUCCUUCACCACAUGAUAUGCUCCAUUUUAUUGCCACGAGGAGGACAUCGAGAUGAGAUCUCGUAUCUUGAGGCAUUUAUUGUGGACUCGAUCCUCAUUGGGAGACGAAUUCACGUGGGAUAUCUAAUGAUGAUGCAUAUGAUCUCCUACGUUGAGAGCACGACACGAGUACUUCCCUAUGGCCGCUUCCUUACCCGAGUAUUCAAGGAUGUCGGGGUCGACUUGAGUAGAGAGACGGACUUCGAGGCCCCAACUAGCUAUGAAACGUAUGAUGAGCAGUCCUUAGGACGCAUGAAGUUCGAGAAGGCACUCGAUGGUUCUUGGGUUAGGAGAGCUGAGUGACAGGCCCAAAGAUAGGGACAGAUGCAUCCCGAGGCAGAGGAAGAGGCCGAGAUCAAAGAGAUGGAGGAUGGGUUAGACCCUCAGAGGGACUUUGAGCAGAGAGGACCCGAGCUUGACAUUCCACCUCCACCUCGUCAGAGGGCAUUCAUGUUGAGGCUACUUUCUCAGAGCUUAUGAUGAUUGAGCUAUCUUUCAUAGUAGGACCAUCAUCUCAGCCAUCAUUUACCGAGCUACCAUCUCAGGCACCUCACGCUCCUGAGCAUACGCCUUGGAUGGAUGUCUUAGCUCAGAUCAGCUCCCUUGGGACUCAUAUGGAGGAACUUGUUUUAGUCCAUGACUCUCGCUUCUACUCUAUGGAGGAGCACAUGGAUCAGUAUCAGACUGGAGUCACUUCUCAGUUUGAUCACUUCCAACAGAGAUUUGAGCUCAUAAAUGAGCGUAUAGAUCAGUAGUAGGCUACAUUUGAGCAUCUCUAGCAGAGCAUUGAUCGCAUUGAGAGUCGUCAGGCGAGUCAGCAUGAGGAGAUGAUGGUUUACCUCCGCUCUGUGUUUCCUCCUCCACCUCCUCAGCCUUGAGAUUGUCUCGAGUUUCCCUUCCAUUUCUUUUUUAUGUUGCCAAAGAAGGAGAAAUAUAUAGGAUCUAGGAGACCCUCAUGCAUGUCAGAGACCCUCAUACAUGUCAUUGUCAUAUCAUCUUGUUUGUACAUGUGAGGUUUUCAUAUAUAUAUGAUAUGAUAUUUUUAUGAUCCAUUGUUCAUUUUCAUGUUUUACAUUGCUUCCUAUUAAAAAUUGUUUGAUUGAUCCAUGAUUGGUUUGAGGGAAAGAUUUUUUUUCUCCUAGAUAACCAAGGUUUGUCAUCAUAAAAAAGGGGAAGAUUGUUAGCCCAAUGGUUCUCCUAAUCGGGUUUUGAUGAUAACAAACCAUAGUUAAGUGACUAAUUGGUUUAAUGAUUAAGAAUCUCAGGUAUAAACUCGAAAAUUCAUCAAAGGACCAAAUGAAUACAAGAUCGAGAUGCUUAGAAGACUUGUGAUCAUAGGAAAUUAAUGUAAGAUGAAUGUAUGAGUGCACUUAGGAUUUUCACACGUUUCAUGCAUCUUAGAAAACUCGAUUUAUUCUUUAAAACGUCAAUUUCAUUAAAAACCGAGUUUUUAACUAAUGUACCUUAGGUAAAAUGUUUUAUAAUUGGCUUAAUAAUUUUCCUAAAGACCUUGCCUAAGUGUUAGAAAAGAAAUGAAUAAAAAAAAAAGGUUUUAAGGGCCAAAAAGGCUCAACUAGUCGAGGUUAUGGCCAACCGGCUCAAUCGGUUGAGGAACCGAUCGACCGGUUGACCUCGUUCGGUCGAGGACCGGUCGAGGAACCGAUCGACCGAUUGACCUCGUUCGGUCGAGGACCGGUCGAGGAUGCACCAAAACCUUCUCUCUCUCCCAAUGGCCUUCUCUUCCCGGUCGAGGUCCGGUCAAGGCAACAGUAACCUGUCAUGCAUUAAAUGCUCCAACGGCUAGUGAACUGAUCGACCCUUAGCUCGACCAGACGAGAUUACCUUUUGCUAUUUUUGACUCCCGAGUUUAGAAACCUAUAAAUUGAGAGCUACACUUCAUUUAUUGACAAGAGAACACUUGCAUUCAAUAGCCUACCUACUUGUUCUUGAUCAAAAAGCUCUCAUUUCUUUCAUAGUGCAUUAAAUCACCACUUGCAUAUCCUUUAGUGCACUCUUGUGUGUCAUCCUAGCUUUGUCUUGUAUUUGAGCUAUCCUUAAGCUAGGUUGAAGGAUUAUAUCUAGUAAAAAUCUGAGUGUUAAAGCCUUCAAGAGGGUUGAAUCUUGAAGAGGUUGUGUAAGAGCCCAUUAGAGCCGGAAUCCAAGUGUAAGAAGAUUGGAAGCUUGGUUGAAGCUUCAAGUUAAUGGAACCCUCACUCGAUUAGGAGGUUGAGGAGAGUGGACGUAGGCAAGGAAGUGUCGAACCACUAUAAACCCGAGUUUGAAUUCUCAAAACUCUAUUUCUUUACUUUGCUUAUAUUGUGUUUGAAUUUGUUGUGAUUGAAAAGAUUUUAAAAACCCAAUUCACCCCCCCCCCCCCCCCCCCUUUUAGGUAUUUUUCUUAACUAAGCAUAGCCUUUGUUUUCUCAGAUUUUAUUAUAAAAAAAUAAUAUAAUUAAAAUUAGUAAUAAAUUUAAAUAUUUUUAAAUUACUUAAUCUUUAUAUAAAAGAGUUAAAUUAGUAAAACGAGUUUAAAAUAUGAUAUAAAGGUAAUUUAUUGACUUUAAAUCUUCUUUUUUUUUUUUACUUCACUUUUUCUUUCCUUCUCUUUCUCCUCUAUCUUCUUUCUUUCAUAUUUUCCCUCAUGUUUUUUGGAACCGAACAUAUUCACAUAUAUCCUUGAUUUCUAGUGGGUUUAUGAAAUUUGAGUAGACAUAAUUAAUGGAUCAAUCUUUAUUUUUCAUUUGACUUAAUUAAAAUAUUCUCUUUGAUGAGAUCAUAUUUGAUAAAUUGUUAUUUGAUUGCAGCAUAUUCAAUCGAAUUCGAUAGUCUAGGUAUCAUAAAUCAUACAUGUUAUACACUAUUUAUAGUAAAUGAAUAGCCACAAACCAUACAUAGAGGAGAUGCGGAUUUCAUUAUAAAUCAUACGAUAAUUACAAAAGAUAUGAUAUUAACUUGCAGUAAAUUGCAACAUCGGCACUCUAAUGCUGGAUUAGAGUAGGGGCAAUGGGCUCAGAGUAACUAGACAAAGUAAGUCUGAUUAUUGCUAACUUUCCUCAUCUUUCGUGGGCCUUUUGGGUGCUUUUUGUGCAAAAGAGAAAAUGCUAUAACUAAAUUGCCAAUCCAUCACCAACGUUAUAGACUAAUGAAGAAUACCAAAGGGGGUUGAAAAGAAAAAUAAAAAAAGACGCGUAUGUGUAUUAUUUUCUGUCAUUGAGUGUGUAUAUGGAUGUUAGAAGGUCAUUUGAUUGAUUAUGUUUGUUGACGAGAGUUUGUAUGUGAGCUUUUCGAGACCCUUCAUUCUUUGUAUUCAUUUUUGUCAUAUGUUUUGAGAGUGAGAUGAGUGGUCUUCUCUUAGGAGCUCUGAGUCAUUGUCUAUUCCAUCAUUGUGUUCGUUAUUGACGUGACCUCCUUUCAUAUUUGAUUUAAGCAUAUCAUCACUCGUUCUCGUAUUCUAUGUUUCAUCAUCAUACUCGUUUUCACUUCUGAUUCAUCAUUUUCAUUUCACCACUUAUUCCGUUCUUACAGUGACCUCAUCUUUGGGUUUGAUACUCUCUUCGCAUCAUCAUUAUACAUCUCGUCAUCAGUUUGAUUUUCUUCAUUGCAUCAUCAUUGUUACCAUGUUCACAGUAGGCAUUCUCAGGUCCAUGGCUCACAGGAUUUACUAUACAUGUUGCAUUUCAUACACGAGGGCAUGGGUUGUGAUCAUUGGGUAUUUGAGCUUAGUUUCCCUUCGUUUCUAUCACCCUAGCCUACAUUACAUCCCGUGUCUUAAGACCACCCUGAGGCCAUGGGAUCAGAUAUCGUCUUCUAUGGCUUCUAUUUGGACAGGUGUUUGAGAUUUGGUUGACAUUUAGAUAUUGUCAUGUUUCUUCUUCUGGGAGACACCUCUAUGAUGUUUAGAUUCGUUUCAACUGUGUUUGGAUUACCGGGAUCACGCGUUUGAUGAGGGAUGAUUCGAUGUCGCUUGUUUUUCUGACAUGUCGUACAUCCGAUGUCAUACUGGGGCAUAUUCCAUUUCGGAUGAUGUUUACAGAUCUUCAUGGAGUCACUUGAUCAUUCUUACUUGUGAGAUGUGCACUGGGACGAUGACUUAUUUGCCAUUUUUAUGAUGAUACCUCAGUAGAGACUCUUGGGAUCCAUCCGGUUAAGCCCGCACGUCUCGGCAUUCCGAUGUCACCAUGAUUACCUCUGUGAGAUGCCUUUUGGACUCUUGGACCCGAUUCUGUCCUAGAUUGAUGACUGGGAUUAUACGCUUGAUGAGAGAUGAUUUCAUGUCACCUGUUCUUCUGACUUGUCACACAUUCGAUGUCAUACUGGGGCAUAUUUUCAUUUCGGAUGAGAUUUAUGGAUCUUCACGGAGGUCACAUGUUUGAUGAUAAAUGAUUUCUUGUCGCCCGAUCUUCAACAUAUCAUACAUUCGAUGCCAUAAUGGGGCAUAUUUCCGUUCUGGAUGAGAUUUACAGAUCUUGGUGGAUUUGCAUGCUUAUCCUCAUUUGCGAGACGUACGCCGAGACGAUGAUCUAUUUGCUAUCUUUACGAUGAUUCCUCAGGGAAGCCUUUCAGGAGUUACCUAGUUAAACCCGCACUUUUCGACACUUAGAUGUCGUCAUGCUUUCUUCCGAGAGACGCCUCUUUGAUUUGUGGGCCUGAUUCAGUUGCAGACAUGGAUGAUUUGAGCUCAUUUGAUUUUCCAACCUAUCACAUUUUUGAUGCCAUACUGGGGCAUAUUCCCCAUUUUGGUCGAGAUUUGUAGAUCUCCCAUUGAUUUGCAUGAUCAUCUCCGGUUAUGAGAUACACGUCAUGUUGAUGAUUUGAUUUCAUUUUGUCCUGAUACUCCGAGGAGCCUCACUUGAGUCAUUCAGCCAGAUUCAUACUCUCUGAUAUAGUCGUGAUUCUUAGACAGAGUUACCUCAGGUGCCUGGUUUUCCACAUCAUCAUUUCAGUGGGGUACAUAUAAGAUAUUUUGUACAUCCCCCAUGGAGUUAUUCUCGAGUUAUUAUGACAGAUCGGAUACGUUAGACGUUAUAUUGGGACAUAUUUCCCUCCUUCGGCUGCGGAGGUGAUUGUUCUCUCACAAAUCUAUUACAGUUUUUCAUCACUCGAUCGAUGAACAUUUGUUUGCUUUAUUGGUCACCGUUCCUGUGAUUUUCGUCAAGAUGAGCUUUCAGUGUAGCACGAUGUUCGGGUUUUGACCGUCCCACUAGCCAUGAGUCUUUGGUGGAUUGUUACUUUGAGAUUGUGGUAUGUCUCUUAGCGGACUAUUCCCUUGAGACCCUAUCAAAUUAUUCAUUUCAGAUGACGAUAGAUUUCUCUAGCAGAUUGUUUCGAGUUAGAGGCGUCUGACUCAUUAUGACAUCCCGUCAGGCGUCGUGAUCUAGUAGGGCGAGUUGUGAGACUAUGUUCACAAUCGAUUUGAUUAUCCCGACUUACUAGUGGGACAUUUUUUUUUAGACUCAUGAAGUCUCUUUCAAACCUUUCCAAUGGAUUGAGAGUUGUGGCGGCCUGCUACACUAGGGCAUGUCCCCUCCUUCAUCAUUUCCUUACAGUUCGGCGUUCAGAGCCAUCAUUCAUUACUGAUUUUCUAUUUGGCGUUCAGAGUCACAUUCUCAGUUUCAGAAUUCAAAGCCAUCAUCGAUUUUCAGUUUGACGUUCAAAGUCCGCAUUUUUCAAUUUUGGCGUUCAGAGCCAUCAUCGUGUUUUUAGUUUGACGUUCAGAGUCACAUUCUUAGUUUCGACAUUCAGAGUCAUCAUCGAUUUUCAGUUUGACAUUCAGAGUCGCAUUUUUCAGUUUCGGCAUUCAGAGCCACCAUCAUUUUUUAGCCUAGCAUUCAGAGCCACUAUGUCUUCUCAUUUACGACGCUUAGGGUCAUCUUUCUUAGUUGGACGUUCAUAGUUAUCAGUUUUAGUUUGGCAUUUAGAGCCAGCGUUUCUGCAUGGCAUUCGUAGAUAUUAUCUUCGUUUCGACGUUUAGAGCCACGUUUUCAUUUCAACAUUCAGAGCUGUUGUUUCGGUUUGGCGUUCAAAGCCAUGGUUUUGGGUCGACAUUCAGAGUUAUUAUAUCAUCCAUUUCGGCGUUCAGAGCCAUUACUCAUCUUCGUUACAACAUUUAGAGCCACUACUUAUCUUCAUUCGGUGUUCAGAGCCAUGUUUGCUUCAUUUGGCGUUUAAAGCCACGUCUUCGUUCAGCGUUCAGAGCCAUUACAUCAUCCAUUUCGGCGUUCAAAGCCAUUACCCAUCUUCGUUACAACAUUCAGAUCCACUACUUAUCUUCGUUCGGCUUUCAAAGCCAUGUUUGCUUUAUUCGGCGUUAGAGCCACGUCUUCGUUCGGCGUUCAGAGCCAUUACAUCAUCCAUUUCGGCGUUCAGAGUCAUUACUCAUCUUCGUUACAGCAUUCAGAGCCACUACUUAUCUUCGUUUGGCAUUCAGAGCCAUGGUUUGCUUCAUUCGACGUUCAGACCCACGUCUUCAUUCGGCGUUCAAAGCCAUUACAUCAUCCAUUUUGGCGUUCAGAGCUAUUACUUAUCCUAGUUUCGGUGUUCAGAGCCAUUACUGGUUUUCUAUUUGGUGUUCAGAGUCACAUUCUCAGUUCCUCAAUCAGAGUCCUUAUGUCUAUCUUUCGUUUUGAUCCAUCACCAUUUUCCUCCAUUCUAGCAUUUAAAGCCAUUGGGCACACUCUUUCGAGCCUUUUUAGGUCAUUUCUAUUCUUAAUUUUGGCGUUCAGAGCCAUUGUACUUAUCCAUUCAGGCACUUUGAGUCACCAUUUUCUCUUUUCUUUUUUACGUUCAAAGUCACGGUCCCUGGCAUUUAUAUUCACUGGCAUUGCACAUCUGACAUUCAUAAUUUUGCAUCCAUCCUCACUUACCUCACCUUGUUACCCUGUGCUUAUCACUUAUUCAUCAUUGCUCGUCCAGAUUCCUGUUCCACUGCACAUGACACAAUCUCUUGAGUUCACGACACAUACUUCGAUCGUGUUGUUGAGGACCCUACACUUAUCAUUUUCAUGUAGUUCAGAUAGGGUAGUCUUCUUUGGGCGUAGACUUUUCUAUGCUCUAGGGCGAUUCGACCGUCACUCAUCUUUGAUAUGUUUUUUUUUAGUUACUUUUGGAGACGUCUUAGAGGGAGCCUGAGUCCUCAGUGUGGCUUCAGGACAUUUUGAGACAUCAUUUUCUUUUAGGGUUAGAGCCUUUUGUUCACCUAUUGGAUUGAGAGAGUUCGUGUUUCACUAGCAUCCUUUUGGGGGUCUCUUUUGUUCUUUGGUAGAGUUCACUUCAUUCCACUCACUAUUCACACUUUCUUUUCAUUCCAGUGUUCAUAUUCCUUACACUUGUGAGUUCUACCGAAGAUGAGCAUAUUUGUAGACCCCCAUUUAGGCAUGGUUCAUUUUUUCUUUGUUGUUUCUACAGGUUACAUUUUUUUUUUUGCCAGGUGUCGCAGCUAUGAGUAGCCAUGUGUUGAUUCCAAUUUGGUUGCUAUGGCAUCAGGUAGUGGAACAAGGAGCAAACAAGAGGUUGACACGUGUCAAAAAGAUUGGGGAAAAAGUUGAGUUCGUUAGGAGGAGUAGAGGAGAGAGAGAAUUGGUUGGCAGAGAGCGAGUGCUUUGCAUGCUAGCUAGAGAUAUUUUUUUUAGAGGAUUCUUUCUUGAGGGGCAAGUCGGGUAGUGAGGAGAGGCGAGACAGGGGGUAAGAGAAAACAGAGAGUGACUUGAAAUAGAGGGAGAUUCUGGUGACUGGCUGUUGGCUUGAGAUGAGGGAACCUAAGAGAAGAGAGAGCUUUCACAGAAGAAGCAAGGAACAGAGGAGAGAGGUUGCGGCUUGCUGAGAAUCAAACGACUUUUGAUCGAAAGGAUCGCUCAAGUUUAGCUAUUUUUACACCUUAAGUUCUCCAUUAUUUCAGUCAUUCCAUUUUUCUUCCUGACAUUUGGAUGUGUAUUUUGGUUGUCUAAUAUGUUAAACCUGUUUCUUAGCUUCCAUUUUCUUAGUCUCUGUUUGUCUUUCUUUUCUCUCUCUGUAUGAGUUGCAUUGUGAUUAUACUAUUUAUUUGUGUUAAAGUGACUCAAAAACUUCCCACUAGUUCUUAACUCUCAUUGAUUUUCAUGGAGAAAAGAUAGAUCUAAUCAUGUUACUUCUUUCACAUGCUUUGUUUCUUGAGUUUUUUUUUUUUUUUUGCUUUUGAAAAAUACCGACCAUUAUUUUGUAAACUACCUGGAAGUUUUGCAAUGAGAGACAUUUGAGGUGAGAGUUGACAAUGAGAAGAAGCGUAUUGCAUUACAGUGUAGAAUGAGGAAUAUUUUGAGGGUAUUUUGGAAAGCUUGAGGGGCAAGUUUACUGAAGAAAAGAAGAAAGUGUAAGAAGUUAACCCUACUUUGAAAAACCCAGAAAAGGUACGAAAUGGAAUGAAGAAGCCAACAACUUACAGAGCCAGCUUAAUGAGUUUGUUGAUUGUUCUCAAACUGAAAAUCUCGUAAGACCUUAGGUAGAUUACUGUAAACUGUCCAUCACUGGAGAAGAAUGUACGGUUGAGAUUUGCAGAAUAGAAGCUUCUGGUACCGGGAAUCAACGAUGAGGGGUGGCUCGAGCAAAAAGGAGUUUGAUGAAUGAAGUGAGCGGCUCGAGAGUUACAGUCUGAGCACGGAUGUGAGCGAGUGUGAGAGUUUGAGUGGCUUUUCGUGUGACGAUGACGGUUAGGGAGGAGGGGUUGUUUCUUCUCUGAAUUACUCGCUGCUCGUCUGACCGAAGGUUGUAGUGAAUUUCAGUUUCAGAGCGCCGCCUCCAUUAACUCUGCCGGUUGCUGGUGGUGGACAUGUGGUGAUUCAGCCACGGAAGCCGGAGAAAGAGUUGCCGCUACCACUGAGGAGUCCGAUUCUGACCACGUCCCAUGCCUCAACUCCGAAUGACAAGAGGAAUCCUUAUUAUUACAAGGAAUUAAAUCCCGGCGAUACCUCUGAAUCCGACAGUAGGGAGUGUUGGGUGGAUUGCCAGAAAGACUGGUAGGAGUUGAAUGAUUCAGCCAUCGCAUGUCUCAUGGAGGCCUAUACGGAGAAGUUUGCACAACUGAAUCAUGGGAAUCUUCAGGAUAAGGAUUGGACAAGAUUUUAUGGAAUACAAUUAGGGCCCACCAUGCCGCAUUCUUGACAUCAAAUUCGCAGUUACAUGCUGAUAGUUUGGUUGAUAAUCUCUUGUGCACACCUCUGUAGCGAAUCUCUUUGUUUUCGGUAACGCCGGUAGUCACGUCGAUAGAUUUGUCUCUCGGCGCCAUUUGUUUUGUGUUUUGGUACAAGUGUUUGUGAAAACAAAGGUAGACAGAAAGAGAAAAAGAUAGAGAGAGAGAGAGAAAGAGAGAGAGAAGUGGCUUCAAGGACACACGUGGCUCACCCUAUGUUUUCAUGCAUGUUUUCAAAAACCCAUUUUAAAAAAAAAUCUCACUUUCAUAUGAUUUUAAGUCUUAAAAUUUUCUUUCUUGAUUUUAAAUAAAUCCAAUUUUAAUAAAUCAAUUCCAAUCAUUUUUUUUUUCACUAGGCUUGCUGAUUGGAGCCAAAAUAUGUGCUCUAAUGGCACAUAUUUGAUAUGAUUUGUGCACCAAAGGACAUUCAAAUCACCCAACUUGACCUAAAUUAAUGCUAAGGCCCUAGCCAUGAGUUUAAUCUGUACUUUGGAGACUUAUCUCAGGUUCAAGGGAAGAAAAUUGUGCAAAUCCAAUGACUUUAGAUUUUGAAAUAUCAAGAAAGGGCUAAAUGAGGAAAUAAGUGAGUCAAGACUCAUUGAACGUAAGGAAAGGAAAAACGAGGAUAUCAUGAGGUUGAAAGAUGAUAAAUGACCAUUAUGGAGUAAGAAAGAAGGCAAGAAAGCAUGGGAAAUGAGGCAUGAAGCAAGAUUUAGCUGCAUGGAAAUUUAGAACUCAAAAAUCUGAUGGCGUUAUAUACUCUGACUUUGAGGACAAAUUUGGAGUACUUUCUAGAGUCCAUUAUAUACAUACUAUAUAUUUUUUUGAAGCUCGGGAAGUCAAGAGUCCAACGCUUCAAACGGUUUGCAAAUCGGAGCUGAAAUGAAGAAGUUAUGGCCAUUUGAAGACAAUUGCACCAAGUUGGAGGGUCAUUUCGAAAUGAUUUCGAAAUUCAACUUAUGAAUUCGAAAACUUAUGAAUUCGAAAUCCACUUCGAAAUGACACCAAUUUCGAAUUCACCCACUGCCACUUUGAUGUUCAGCCUCCUCUACCCCGGGAAUUGCAUCUAUUCAACUUAUGAAUUCGAAAUCCACUUCGAAAUGACACCAAUUUCGAAUUCACCCAUUGCCACUUUGAUGUUCCGCCUCCUCUACCUCGGGAAUUGCAUCUAAAGCACUCCAUCUGCCCUAGGUGGACUCCAUACAACUAGAAAUCACCAUUUUAUUAUUUUUUUAAUCAUUUUUAGGAAAUUAUUUUGUAAUAAGUGGCCAAUGAGAGUAUGCCACAUGUUAGGUAAUUGAGGAUAUUAUGUAAACUCUCUCAAUUCUAGGUUUUAGAGAUCUUGGAUUUUUUUUUGGAGAGUUUGACAUUGAAGGUGGAAGGAGACGAGAACUUUGGUUUGUUUUCUUUUUCUUCUUUAUUGAAAAUAUUGUUUUUAGUUUCUUUCGAUUCAAAUUAUGGAUUUUUACCCUAUUAUGGAUUGUGAAUGUGACAUCACCCCCAUGAGAGGCUAAGAGCCAACUUGGGGCUUGAAGCAUGAAAACCUAAGGGCUAGGAAACCAAUAGGGACAAUGGGCAAAUUAUUAUAACAAUGAGAUUAAUUAUUGGUUGGGUGACAAUUUAUCAUAUUUUUUUAUCCUAUCAUUGUGAGUUCGUUUAGGGAAUGAUACAUUAGGUUAUUACUUGAUACUAGUGAUUCUUGGUAAUUCUUGAUCAUUAGUUAUUUUCGUCUUACCUACCAUUAUUUGCCCCUAAACAAAGCUAUAAGGAGUAGGAAGGGUUAAAAAGCCAAAUCUUAAAUUGAUAAUCAAUCUCAUUCAUUUGAUGGUUUUAGGAAUCUGUUUUAAAAAGGAAAAAUUAGGUUUCGGAUGCAAUUUUGAGUUAUAGAACUCAACUUGAUCGCGAGUGGCCAAGGAUCCCAAAACUCUAAGAUCAUAUUACUUAAAAUACCCUUGUUUUCUCUAAUUUCUAUACCCUAGGUUGGAUUGUGGAAAACCCCAAACUUGAAUCAAUUGAUUUUAAAAUCAUUAUUCAUUUUCUCUUAUUAAUUUAAUUUCUUUUACUUAGUUUCACAUUAUUCACAUAUUGUUUUUCACUUAAGGAUUUAAACAAAAACAAUUCAUUUAUUCUAGUAUUGACAAUUUUCAUAGGCCAGUCCUUGAGAACGAUACUCGGAAUACUACAAAAGCCGUAGUGACUCUUUCUCUAGUUUUUCUUGACUAGAGUUACUACAUAAAAAGGCUAAGUAUUUUGGUACAAUAGAAAAUUUUCGGUCACUUGCAUCUUUUACUUCAUUUUAUUUUUUUAUUUUAUAUUAUUUUCAUUUUUUGUAUUAUUAUUAUUUUUUUCUUUUCUUUGAUUUUAUGUAUUUUCUUUUAAUAAGAAAAUUGGUUGUUAUUCUCUCUUCGGCAAGCCUUUUUUCACAUUUUCUUUGUUUUUUUUAAAAAUGUUUUAAAAUGAGCAUGAAUUUAAUUUUGUAGUUCCAAGAGAAAAGAUUGCAACUAAAUUGCCAAUCCAUCACCGACGUUAUAGAUUGAUGAACAAUACCAAAGGGGGUGUUAUGAAAUAAUGAGAAUAAAUAAUAAGAAAAAUAGAAUAAGAACACAUAGAUAUAUGUGGAAAACUUUAGACGAGAAAAGAUGGAGCACAAGCAAACAAAGAUGGAAAAGGAGCUGACCAGGAAGGUAGAGGAAUUGAGAAAGGAAGCAGAGACAACCAUGUUGAAGGAGCAAAGUCUGUUGGAGGAAAAGGCCAACGGUGAGAAGGCACUGCAAAGGAAAAAAGAAAGUGUAGAAAAGGCCAAUUCCUUUAUCACUACUAAGGCCACCAUUUCAUGAUACAGCCAUAAUAAUGGAUGUUUAAACAGUGUGAUUAGAUAUAAGUUUGCCAUUCAUAUAUGGAAAAUAUUAACAAAACUGAGCUUCGGCUUUCGAUGAGUCCAGGUAAAAUCAAUAUCAAUAUAACCUUAGCAGGUGAAUCAUCAUAGUGAAGUUUUUGGAAUUUCAAUGCAUGAACAUAAAGCCACUAAAAGGGCCCCUACUAUUCAACUGUUAUUGGUUCAAGGGUUGUAUUUAGUCAGCGUAUAAUGAGGUAGAUAUUUUGAUUAUAAGGCGAGUCGCGAGUCUCAAGAAGUGAUCUCGAUGUUUGACCAGAGAGCCUUACACCAUGGGUGUGAUUUGUCAAACAAUAGUUCAUUUCUGCUUCAUGGUUGUGCCUUGAGGUAAGGCUUUAGAGGCAUAAGCCUCAAAAGCCUCUUAAAAUUGGUUCUACACUUCUUUGCAUGGUGAAUGCAAGUUCCAAAUUUUGAUGACUUGGUAAUGUUGGAGUAAUUGUGUUGAAAGCAGUCAAACACAAACAAUUAUUAAAGAAGAUAAAAAUUUUGAAGAAUUAAAAUUUUAUUAUAUUCUACCACUCUUUUUUAUUCAAAUGUUACAUAAUAUCUUAUUUAUAGAUACCAACACUUAACUAAAAAUGACAUAAUUAAAAGUAAAUUAUCAUUUGAUUGCAAUGGAUUCAAUAGAACAUGGUGGAUAUGCUCAAUUUUUGUCCAUCAAUAAAAUUUGAUUUGAGUGAAUAUAAUUAGAGUAAAAUAGUCUUUUUAACUAUCACUUUUACAAUAAAAAGUGUUUUAUUUAAAUAAAUAUUUAAUAAAAUUUUAAAAAUAUUUUUCAAAAAUAAUUAUAGUAUUUUCUAAGAAACAUUUGAUAAAUAAUUAUUAUAAAAAUACUUUUAAAAACACUUCCUUGAAAGUACUUCAAAGUUGGUCAAAUGGUAAGUUAUACAUCAGGAUCUUAAUGAUGGUCCAUGUAACCAUCACCAUUGAUUGUUUUCUAAAACACAACUUCAAUUUAAAUAAUAUUUUAAGGCAAGUCCUAGUUAUCAUAUUUUACAAGAUAUUUUUUAAAAUUAUUGUUUUUUUUUCUUUCAAAAUCCCAAGAGGGAGGUCACCAAUAUGAAAAUAAUGUGACCCAUCUCUAUACUAUUGUCUCCAUUAUUUGGACUACAUAAUAGUUUCCUUAUUGACAACAUGGUAGCCACGUUAAAUACCUACAACUUUGAAAACAAGAUCUCAAAACUAUGCCUAUUUGAUUAUAAGGCUUAAUUAUUAUAGUUUAUCAUUUCCUAGCAUAGUUCUUAGCAUCUAAGUAUUUUUUAUAUAAGAAUUUUUCUUAUUUUUCAAGCUUGCAUUUUGUUUUAAAAAAAUUUGAGUUGUUUACAAUCAUUUUGAAAAUGUCAACUCAUAAUUGUAUACAUUUUAGUUCUAUAAAGACUAAAAUCACUAAAUGUCAUGGUAAUACUAUUUAAGGUAAUUUGCUUUAAAUGAGAAUGUGCUUAUAUACAACUUAUGGUAAUAAUAGAGAUCAAAUUUAAAAAUACAUAAGUUUUAAAUUAUAUAUUAGUAUAUUUAUGUUUCCUUCAUAUUUUUUAUCCUAAAAACACAUUAAAUGUAUGCUCUUGAAUUCCUUCAUGUUUUUGACAUAAUAAGAUUUGAUAUAAUGAUAAAUCAACUAUUAUUAUUUAAUAAUAUGGAGCUUUGACUUUUGACAUUUAAGUAACAUUGUCAAUGAAAGCUUCAUUAUUUUUGCUUCAUGGAAGAGCAAAUGAUGUGAUUGAAUUACACUUCAAUUAUGUUUGAUUGUUUGAAAAUACUCGAGAAAAAUAAAUAUUAAAGAAAAUAAUUUUUUCAUAUUUGAUUUUACUAUAUAAAAAUAAUAUAAUUAAAAUUAGUAAUAGAUUUAAAUAUUUUUAAAUUGCUUAAUCUUUAUAUAAAAGAGUUAAAUAAAUAAAACGAGUUUAAAACAUAAUAUACAGGUAAUUUAUUGACUUUAAAUCUUUUUUUUUUUACUUCACUUUUUCUUUCCUUCUCUUUUUCCUCUAUCUUCUUUCUUUCAUAUUUUCCCUCAUGCUUUUUGGAACUGAACAUAUUCACAUAUAUCCUUGAUUUCUAGUGGGUUUAUGAAAUUUGAGUAGACAUAAUUAAUGGGUCAAUCUUUAUUUUUCAUUUGACAUAAUUAAAAUAUCUCUUUGAUGAGAUCAUCUUAGAUAAAUUGUUAUUUGAUUGCACCAUAUUCAAUCGAAUUUGAUAGUCUAGGUAUCAUAAACCAUACAUGUUGUGCACUAUUUACAGUAAAUGAAUAGCCACAAACCAUACAUAGAGGAGAUGAGAAUUUCAUUAUAAAUCAUACGAUAAUUAUAAAGGAUAUGAUAUUAACUUGCAGUAAAUUGCAACAUUGACACUCUAAUGCUGGAUUGGAGGAUGGGCAAUGGGCUCAGAGUAACUAGACAAAGUAAGUGUGAUUAUUGCUAACUUUCCUCAUCUUUCGUGGGCCUUUUGGGUGUUUUUUGUGCAAAAGGUGCAAAAGGCUAUAACUAAAUUGCCAAUCCAUCACCAACAUUAUAGACUGAUGAAGAAUACCAAUGGGGGUGUUACGAAAUAAUGAGAAUAAAUAAUAAGAAAAAUAGAAUAAGAACACAUAGAUAUAUGUGGAAAACUCUAAACGAGAAAAACCAUGAGAAGAGGAAAAGAAGAUUCGUUAUGUCAAAAAUUGGUACAAAAUGGGAGAGUUGAAAGUGACUACAACAAAAACAUAAUCAUCAUAACCCUAAAACUAUACAUCAUUAUUAUAUAUAUAUAUAUAUAUAUAUAUAUGCGAGAGUUGAGAACAACUAUGGGAUGAGGUCUAUUGACCCGAUCUCUUCACUACCCCCACAAAUCUCUCAAAAAAUCUUAUAAUUUUAACUUUACUACAUAUAUUGCAUCGUGAGCUUUUCGAAUCGAAUAAAAAAGAAUUUGGAAUCAUCAAACUUUAACAAAGGGAGUGAGAUCAUAACUUUGGAAGGAUUUUUAAAAAAAAAAUGUAGACUUAAAUGGUAAAUAUUAAAGUGUGUUUGAGAGUGAUACUCGAAAGUAUUUUCAACAUUUUUAAUAUUUGAAAAAUAAAAUUUUUUAAAUAUUAAAAACAUUAUCUAAAAUCAAUAUCAAAAAGCAUUUUAUAAAAUCAGUAUCAAACUAUCAAACAUAAUUUGAAUUUAAAUAGAGACAAGAACAACAUUGACUCUUGACUCACUAAACCAGUCUCAGUUCACUUAUUGAAUGAAAAGAAAAUAAUUAAAAAUAAAGAACAACAUCCAUGAGUAUAUAUAAUAUAUUCAUUUGCAGCUCUUGAAUGCAAAUAAUUUAAUAAUUUUUUUUAUAAUUAAUUAAUGAAGAUAAAAAUUUGAUAAUUAACAUACAAUUAUGUUGAUAUUUUGACAUUAUAUUCAAUUCACCAAAUAAGAUUGUUUUUCACCCAACAAUAAUUUAUGUAGAAUAAUAAAUAAAUUAAAUUAGUUGGAAGUUAAUUUUAAUUUGAUUUAAUUAAAAAUUGGUUAAAAAAUGUUUUUCAUUUAAAAAUUAAUUGUAGAAUAAUAAAUAAAUAAAUAUAUUCGUAACCAAAGCAUUUGAUUAAAAAUUGGUUUUCAUUUAAAAAGAUAAGUUGGAAAUUAAUUUUAAUUUGAUUUAAUUAGAAAAUUGAUUUUUUGCUGGUUAAGUUUGUUUUAAUUUGUAAAUUCAUGUAAAUAAAAAAAAAGGAUAAGAAGAUAAUUUUCAUGUGAAAAAUCAUUUAAUUUGAAAAUAAAUGAUGUAAUGUGUUUCAUUGGCGGUUAGCACUUAGCAUUUUGCAUUUUUUCUUGUUUGUAUAACUUUUUAAAAUGUAAAAGAUAAUAAUAAAAUAGGAAAUAAUUAAUAAAUUAAAAAAAUAAAAUAAAUGAUCGUUGAUGGCCCCCCACAAAAUGUGUCAUAUGACUUGGAUUAUUUUUUUCUCUUUUUAGUAAAACAAACUUUUAAAAUAAAUAAAAAAUAAAAUAGGACAUAAUUGAAUCCCACUGUUAGUGAAUGCAAAAGGGCUUCACCCAACCAGAAAUAAUUGAAAGGACGCUUUAUUUUUACUUUUUCCAAAGUCUGUAGUAGCAAUUUUAAUGGGAUACAGUUGUAAAGAACCAGACAUCCUCACCACCAUCGUCUCAGACUCUCAGCAUUCAAAGACCCCUUUGAAUUUUCUUCUUCCAAAUUCUGUUCUUGUAAUUUUGUUACAAUCCAACCAUGACUUCCUCUAGCAAUUCUAAGAGACCCUCUUCAUCUUCUUCUUCUUCUUCCAAUUCUAAAUGCUAAUUAAUAAUUGAGAGUGCAAUUAAUAAUUGAGGCAGGACUUUGACUCUCGUGAACCCCCCCACUCUCACUCAAUGCUAAUUGCUAAAGGGUUACGGGCUUACAGCCGAUCAAAGAUAAUUGAGACAGAAGAACCAGACAUCGUCUCACACUUUGUUUUUUCUUCUUCCAAAUUUUGUUACAGUCCAACCAUGGCUUCCACUAGCAAUCCCAAGAGACCCUCUUCUUCUUCUUCUAAUUCUAAAUGGAGGUACGAUGUGUUCUUGAGUUUCAGAGGCAAGGAUACCCGCAACAACUUUACUAGUCAUCUCUACAAGGCUUUGGAUCAUGCCAACAUUGAAACCUUUAUAGAUGAUGAAGGACUUCCAAGGGGAGAAGAGAUUGCGCCCGAGCUCCUAAAAGCUAUUGAAGGAUCAAGGAUUGCCCUUAUUGUCUUCUCGAAAACCUAUGCUGAUUCCAAGUGGUGCUUGGAUGAACUCGUCAAGAUCAUGGAGUGCGAGAAAGAAAAGGGACAACAGGUUUUUCCUAUUUUCUAUCAUGUAGAGCCGUCUGAAGUCAGGAACCAGACUGGGAUUUAUGGAGAAGCAUUUAACAAUCACGAAAGAAAUGCAGACGAGGAGAAGAAGAAGAAGAAGAUAGAGCAGUGGCGGACUGCCUUAAGGAAAGCUGGUAAUUUGAGUGGAUUUCCUCUGCAGGAUAGGUAAUCCCUACUUCACUUUUUCCAUUCCCAAUUUUCUGUCAGUUUAUUUUCAUUCUUGUUAAUAAAUAAAAUAUUUAUGAUUACAUUUAUCAAUCAAAAUCCAUUUUUAAGUAGUAGACAUUAAUAUGUUCGAUUUCUUGGAAAGUAAUAAGAAAGAGUAAAAAAAAAUAAUAAUAAUAAUAAUAAAUGAUUUUCUCACAUUUAAUUUAUUAUUAAAAUUAUAAAAGGAAAUCAAAUAUAAUUAAAAUAUAUCAGAAAAAAUUAUAUUUGCCCAGCAGAUGGAAAUGCCAAGUUUUGAAUUGUUAAAAAUCUUUAAGAUUCCAAAAUAUUCUUCCUUUCUAAUCGAUCCAUCUCAGCCAUAAUUUCUAUCAAUUAAAAAAAAAUGGUAGUCUGUCAAAUAAAUUGUUAAAAUUGGUUAUUUAUAUGCCUUGUAAAUUUGGAGAUAAUCUGAGAUGAUUAUUUAAAAUAUUGUAAUACUACCCUAAAUUUUGUUGGACCUCUUAUGAGACAAAAAACUUAGUUAUUGCACCCUUAACCUUUUUCAAUUUUAGAGGAAUUUUCUAUUACUUAAAUAAUUUUCUCAUGUUCUCUAUGCACUACAUGAGUUUACAUUUCUUCUUUACUUAAUAUUGUUUGUUCCUCUAUAUUUGCAAGUUGAUUAUUAAAUUUAUUUACCUUUUAAUCUAAUGUUUGUAUCUCGUUUUAUUCUAAUUAUCCCAUGACUCUUCUUAAGACCUUGUCUUUCACGUUGAAUCAUCUAAUGCUAAACUUAUUCCCUUGCUAUUCUACUUUGUGUACUCAUGGGAUUAAUAUAUUGAAAUUGAAAUUGUUUUUUUUUUCUCUCUCUUUUUCUCUUGUAUGUUCUACAUUCUUCUAUGCCUCAAUUACAAAUAAAAGCAAGCAACCUUAGAGCUUGUUUGACUUGAAACUAAUGUUCAAAAAAUAGUUUUCCCCAACCCAAUGUUGAAAAUAAUGAACAAAAUUUUAUUUGAAAAUUCAAAUAUGAAAAAAGUCUUUCUCAACUUAUGAACUAUGAAGGUAUUAUAAAUUUAUGUACAAUAUAACUUUUUCUAAGUAUUAUCUAUAUUUUCAUUUCUUUAUCACAAUACUCUAUAAGAAAAUACUUAUAAUCAUCUCAAAUAUGCUCUUAAAAAUGAACUUGUUUACCGAAAAAAAUUUUGAAAAAAAUUUUUAGUAAAAAAAAAUAAAAUAUAUAUUUAAGUUAUUAAACUAUUUUAUAUUCUAGAGAAAAAAAAAUCCAUUUUCAAAAACAAUAUCAAUACAUGCAUUUUUCUUUUAAGUAUCAUUUAAAAAUCUUUUUCCACAAGUCUAAUUGUUGCUAGGCUUUUGACCAACAAACAAACACGUGUCACUUUCCUUGUCAUUCUAAUUUAUAUUUGGAAAAAAAAUGGGGAUUUCAUCAAAAUAUGAAACUUACGUAGCAAUUAUUAACAACCUAAAUAUAAAUAGAAGUACAACUAAAAUGUACUUGUUUACAAAAUAAAUAGUUGAAAGUCUUAUAAGUAUAGAGGAUGGUCAUAAGUCAUGCUAUAAUUAAUAAAAGCAUUGCUAGGUUACAGAACUUGGGUGACAAAUUGGUAGAUUUCUAGCCAAACUAGUAUUGGUCUCUAUAAUAAAAUCUCUUAUCAUAAAAGAUAACGAUACAUUAGAAAGGUCAACUUCAAUUUGGACCUUUAGAAGCAAUUGAGGUAUUUACAUUGUUUUAUUGCACAUAUACUUGACUUAAAACAAUGAAAUUUUAUUCAAACAUGCGACUCAAUACAUUUUUAAUUUACAUUCUAUUUGACCUUAAUUUAGUUGCAUUGAAUGGAGCUAAACACCAUUCUAUAAUUUCCAUUUACUUCAUCUUAGUUUUCUUUGGCAAUUGAUUCUAACUCACUGCAUGUUUUAUUGUACUUUAUAAUGGACAGAUCUGAGGCAGAGUUUAUUGAAGAUAUCAUUGGUGAGAUUAGAAGAUUGAUUCCUAAGUUGGUAGAUGUUGGUAAGAACAUGGUUGGAAUGGAUGGAAAUUUGAAACAAGUGAAGUCAUUGAUAGAUGCCCAAUCAAAUGAAGUGAGCAUGGUUGGGAUUUAUGGGAUUGGUGGGAUUGGUAAAACUACCAUCGCCAAGGUUGUUUACAAUGAUAUGUUAUAUAAAUUUAAACGUCACAGCUUUCUUGAAAAUGUGAGAGAGAAAUCUAAAGGUGGUCGUGGUUUACUUGAAUUACAAGAAAAACUUCUUUGUGAUAUCCUAAUGGAGAAAAAUCUGGAGUUAAGGAAUAUUGAUAAAGGAAUUGAAAAGAUAAAGAGUGAGUGUUGCUUUGAAAAGGUUCUUAUUGUUCUUGAUGAUGUAGAUUGCCCAAGACAAUUAGAAUUCUUAGCUCCUAAUUCUGACUGUUUUCAUCGAGGAAGCAUAAUCAUUGUGACCACGAGAAAUAAACGUUGCCUAAAUGUAUAUGAGUCGUAUUCAUCAUAUGAGGCUAAGGGAUUAGCACGUGAGCAAGCUAAGGAACUCUUUUGUUGGAAUGCCUUUCGAAAACACCAUCCAAAAGACAAUUAUGUGGACCUCUCUAAUCGUAUACUGGAUUAUGCUAAAGGCCUUCCAUUGGCUCUUGUAGUUUUGGGUUCUUUUCUCUUUCAAAGGGAUGUGGAUGAAUGGGAAAGCACAUUGGAUAAACUCAAAACAAACCCUCUCGAAGAUAUUCAAAAGGUACUCCAGAUAAGUUAUGAUGGACUAGAUGAUAAAUGCAAAAAGUUGUUUCUUGAUAUUGCAUGCUUCUUCAAAUAUAAGGAUGAAAAAUUUGUUACAAGAAUACUAGAAGGUUGCAAAUUCCAUCCCAAGAUUGGACUAAGAGUUCUUGAUGAGAGAUGUCUUAUCUCUAUAACGUACGGCACUAUAAGGAUGCAUGACUUGUUACAAGAAAUGGGUUGGGCAAUUGUUCGCCAAAUUGAUCCAGAAUGUCCUGGAAAAUGGAGCAGAUUGUGGGAAUUACAAGAUAUUGAAAGUGUAUUUACCCGAAAUAAGGUAAGAGAAAAAUACAUGAAUAUACUUGAGACCUAAAGACAUAAAAGAUUCAACAAGAUUUAUUUUUAUUAUUAUUAUAGUCUGAGUACCUUAUCUAUAUAAUUUUAUCGAAUCCCUAUGCAUCUUAUACUACUUUUUCUCAAUGCUUGUUUUCAGGGGACAAAAAACAUUGAGGGGAUAUUCAUAAAUCGGUCUUGGGAUACAAAAAAACGUAUACAACUUACUGCUGAAGCUUUCAGAAAGAUGAAUCGACUUAGAUUGCUCAUAGUUAAAGGCAAUAUGGUGCAGCUUUCCCAAGACUUUGAAUUGCCUUGUCAUGAUUUAGUAUAUUUUCAUUGGGAUAACUACCCUUUGGAAUAUUUGCCAUCAAAUUUUCAUGUAGAAAAUCUUGUUGAACUUAACCUCUGGUACAGCAACAUAGAACAUCUUUGGGAAGGAAACAUGGUAUUGCUAUUAUUUAGUUAUAUUUUUGCUCUAGACUAAUUUUAAAGUCUUUUGAAGUUUACUUAUUGAAACGAAUUUUCUUCUGUUACAGACUGCUAGAAAGUUAAAGGUCAUUAAUCUCAGUUAUUCCAUGCAUCUGGUUGGUAUUUCAAGCAUCUCAAGUGCACCAAAUUUGGAGAUUCUAAUUCUAAAAGGUUGUACAAGGUUACUUACUUGUUUCACCCAUGCUUAAUGUUAUUAUUAGUCAUGAGCUAACUGUUUUCUUGAAUAUAAUAGGAUGCAAGAGACUUGAGAGUCUUCCAAGGAACUUUCAUAAGCUGGAAUGCCUUCAAACACUCUCUUGUGAUGGCUGUUCAAACUUAAAAAGUUUUCCGAAGAUCGAGGAAGAAAUGAGAAGUCUAAGAAAGCUUCAUUUAAGUCAUACAGGUAUAAUGGAAUUACCAUCAUCAAUUAGCAAUCUAAAUGGGCUUGAAAAGUUGGACUUAGGUUAUUGCAAAAACCUUUUGAGUCUUCCGGACAGUAUUUUUAGUUUGAGUUCUCUUCAAACUCUGAAUCUAUUUGAGUGUUCAAAACUAGUGGGCUUUCCGGGUAUCAAUAUUGGAAGUCUAAAAGCUCUUGAAUAUUUGGAUUUGUCAUAUUGUGAGAACAUUGAGAGUCUUCCGAACAAUAUUGGUAGUUUUAGCUCUCUUCAUACUCUUUCAUUGAUGGGGUGUUCAAAACUGAAGGGCUUUCCAGAUAUCAAUAUUGGUAGUUUUAGCUCUCUUCAUACUCUUUCAUUGAUGGGGUGUUCAAAACUGAAGGGCUUUCCAGAUAUCAAUAUUGGAAGUCUAAAAGCUCUUCAAUUGUUAGAUUUCUCACGUUGCAGAAACCUUGAGAGUCUUCCGAACAAUAUUGGUAGUUUGAGCUCUCUUCAUACUCUUUUAUUGGUAGGGUGUUCAAAAUUGAAGGGCUUUCCAGAUAUCAAUUUUGGAAGUCUAAAAGCUCUUCAAUUGUUAGAUUUCUCACGUUGCAGAAACCUUGAGAGUCUUCCCAUGAGCAUUUACAAUUUGAGCUCUCUCAAAACAUUGAGGAUUACAAAUUGUCCAAAACUCGAGGAAAUGUUAGAGAUUGAAUUAGGGGUUGAUUGGCCACUUCCACCUACAACCAGUCACAUUUCAAAUUCAGCAAUAAUCUGGUAUGAUGGCUGCUUUUCCUCAUUAGAAGCAUUAAAACAAAAGUGCCCCCUGUCAUCACUGGUAGAAUUAUCUGUAAGAAAGUUUUAUGGCAUGGAAAAAGACAUCCUCAGUGGCAGUUUCCACCUAUCCUCAUUGAAAAUAUUAUCUCUAGGGAACUUCCCUAGCAUGGCAGGAGGAAUCCUCGAUAAGAUUUUCCAUCUAUCUUCAUUGGUAAAAUUAUCUCUUACUAAAUGCAAGCCAACGGAAGAAGGAAUCCCCAGUGAUAUUCGGAACCUAUCUCCACUGCAACAAUUAUCUCUACAUGACUGCAAUCUAAUGGAAGGAAAGAUCCUCAAUCAUAUUUGCCAUCUAACAUCCUUGGAAGAAUUACAUCUGGGUUGGAACCAUUUUAGUAGCAUUCCUGCUGGCAUCAGUCGACUUUCCAAUCUAAAAGCCCUUGACUUGAGUCACUGCAAGAACCUUCAACAAAUUCCAGAGCUUCCAUCAAGUCUACGAUUUUUAGAUGCGCACUGUUCGGAUCGUAUUUCAUCAAGCCCCUCGCUUCUACCUAUUCAUUCUAUGGUCAAUUGCUUCAAAUCAGAAAUUGAGGUAUGAUUCUCAUGCCACGUUCCUUUUUCUUUCGUACCCAUUGGAUUUACAUGGUGCUUUUGUGCAGGACUGCGUGGUUAUUCAUCGUUAUUCUUCCUUCUGGGGCAAUGGAAUUGGUAUUGUUAUUCCUAGAAGUAGUGGAAUUCUAGAGUGGAUAACGUAUCGGAAUAUGGGAGGGCAUAAAGUAACAAUAGAGCUCCCUCCGAAUUGGUAUGAAAAUGAUGACUUGUGGGGAUUUGCUUUAUGCUGUGUUUAUGUUGCACCUGCCUGUGAAUCUGAGGAUGAAUCUCAGUAUGAAUCAGGUCUUAUAUCUGAGGAUGACAGUGACCUUGAAGAUGAAGAAGCAAGCUUUUAUUGUGAAUUGACAAUCGAAGGAAAUAAUCAAUCAGAAGACGUGGCUGGUUUCGUUCUUGAUUUUCGCUGUGUUAAGGAUGAUGUAUCAGAUAUGCAGUGGGUGAUAUGUUAUCCCAAGUUAGCUAUUGAGAAAAGUUAUCACACCAAUCAAUGGACACACUUCAAGGCUUCAUUUGGUGGGGCCCAAGUGGCAGAGUGCGGAAUCCGUCUGGUAUACACAAAAGAUUAUGAACAGAAACAUCCAACAAUGGCACAAGGCAGUACUUCUCAUGGGAAUUUUGGUGAGCAUGGAUCAGUAAGAGAAGAUGGCAGUACUUCUCAUGGGAAGUUUGGUGACCAUAGAUUAGUAAGAGAAGCUUUACUACUCUAAAGAUACUAAUAGUAAAGAUCACAAUAAAAGGAAUCCCACAGAACAGAGCCCAGGAGAGGAGUCACGUACACCAUAAAAGAUUCAGAGAAACCCAAGACUGAUCCCAAGCAUUAGGCUCAACCACACUUGCAUCAAUAAUGUUCUCUUCCUGGUAAUUCAUCUUCUUUUCUCUUUCAAAUUCAAAGGUCAGAAAUUUUUUUAUCAUGUUUCUCCUUUUUAUUUGUUUUUUCCCCAAGACAAACAAAAAUUUGUGGCUAUCAUCCAUGGGUGCAAACUUCAAUGGUACACCUCCCAAGUUUGUUUUUCUCUCUCUCCAACCGUCUCUCCCUAGAUUUUUCUGCAUUUUCUUCAAACUCAUAUUUCUAUAUGAAAUUCAAUUACAUUCGAGCAUUUCAAUCUCUGUAGCUAAUGUCUGAAUCAUUUCUAGGGUUUCUUUUUUCUGGAAGUUUGUAAUGUUAUUGAUUUAUGACUUGAUGUUUGGGGAUGUUUUGGGUGGCUUGUUCACUUUUUUAUAGCGAUGAUUUAUGGAACCAGAGUUUCUUAGCAGGAAAUGGAACUCGUGUGUUUUAGAAUAUUGGCGUUAUUUGCUUGUGCCCUGUUUGGUUGCUGAGAAAGAGUGGAAGGAGGAUGGAGAAUUAAAUAAUUUUCAAUCUAAGCAAUGAGAAAUUAGAUUUGGGUAUUUGGGCCAUUGGAGUUAUUUGCUCUUACUCAGUUUGGUUUCCAGGAAACUGCAGGCAAAGCAUGGAAAAUAAAGUAUUUUUAAAUUAAUUACCAGGAAAUGGAAUGUACGUAUUUGUCUCUUUGGAAUAUAAACAUCAGUAUUCACUCUUCAAGAAUGUAUAUGGUUGUUGUUUUGGAAUUUUGAAAUUACUUAGCAUCAGACAAUUUCUAACUUGGGAUUUGGAUUGGGAAUCAUAAGUAAUCAUUAGAGAGUAUAUGAGAAGGAGUUUUAGAGUAAGACAGGGUGAUGCAUGUUGAGGGAUGCGUCUCACCCUGGAGUUCUUUGGAAUAAUUAUAGGAUUUUGUAAGUAACUUUGGACUUAUUAGCAAUGUUCUGGAUUUGUGAAUAAUUUAUAGAAUACAUUGGGUGUUUUUUUUUUUUUUUUUUUUUGAGAGUGAAUAAUGUAUGACUGUACUCUUCUCUAUCUCUGUGGUAUGGCACACGUAUGAUUUGGUGCUUUUUUGCAGGCCUUCAACAGCAGCAAAGCAUCUGGUGGCUUGCAGUACUAAUCUUGCAUUAUAUUCUCUGUUUUGCAAUCAUUUGGUACUGUUUGUCCCAACCAAGGAUAGCUCUGUGCAAGCAGUCUCGACUGUGGAACAAGUAAAACAAAUGGUACCUGCUGAAGCUGAGAGGGCAGAUGAUAAGCUGGUGCGGAAGGUGGUCAACCAAAAGAAUCAGACAGCAAAAACUAAAAAGCCCAUCAAGCCUGCUACUGAAGCAGCCUCAGCACCUGUUUCUGGGAGGGGUGAGAUUGAAGUGACUGAAGAAAAGGAGCAUGAGCAAACAAAGAAGGAAGAGGAGUUGGCCAGGAAGGUAGAGGAAUUGAGAAGUGAAGAAGAAGCAGCCAUGUUGAAGGAGAGAAAGCCAACGUUAAGGAGGCACUGGAAAGGAAACAAGGAACUGCAGAAAAGGCCAAUUUCUCUGUGAGUGCUGCCACCUUUUCAUAAUAAUGGAUGUUAAAAGCAGUCUAACUCUACAUGGCGUUUAUUUUCCCCAGCCAUGGAUUGGAAUCUGCCAGUCUAACUCUCAUAAGAAACAAAAUUUUCCAUCCUCAUAUGGAUUAUUGGAGAAGAUUUUAACAUGGAGUUCACUAGAGAGUUUCUAACACCCACUCAAAAAGGACAUUUUAGAGAACUUAUUGAAAAGUUACAUCAGAGUACAUAAAUUUUUAGAUAUUUUUAAAAAUAUCUGAAAAAUUAAAUUAACUAAAAGUAUUUGAAAAAUAUUUGAUUGAAUUAAUAAAUAACUAGUAUUUGCAUAUGAAAAAAUAGUAAACAUAGUCAAUAAUUUUUUUUUUAAUAAUUAGCACAUAAUAAUCAUAAAUUAAUUUAUGGCAAGACCUCAUAUUUGUUGUGGUGACUGUGUUGUCUUACCAUUCUUCUUUCAUGAUGGGCUUAAAUUUUAAUUUAAAUGUAGUAUAAAUAUAUAAUUAGAUUGAUAUUUCGUCCACUAGAAUUGAUUGGGUCUGAAUUUGAACCCUGGUCUUGAAUUUCUUGGCCCAACCAACGAAAUCAUUGACCAACGGCCCUUAGUUUGGGCUGGGCUUGAUGGUCCUCAGGUUAUGCAGGCUUAAUACUGAUUGGGUUUGGGCUUCCAUGCAGUUGUACUUGGAUUCUAUGUUUCCUAAUAUUAACACUAAAAUUAGGUUUAAUUUAUUAACACUAAAUUAGGUUUCAUUUAUAAUUAAAUAUAAUUAGUUUGAGAAUAACUCCAAUCUUUAGUUAAACCAACUAAGUUUUAUGCAAAGGUUUAUAUUCCUAAUACCAUUGAAAAACUAAAUUUAUGUGGAAGUUUGACUGAUACCAACAUUAAAUUAUUAAGAUAAAUUGAAAAAAAAAAAAUCAUGCUCGUAUGUCCUGUUGUUUGUCAUAAGAAAAUUUCUUUUCAGAUUUUUUUUUUCUUUUAAUACAUCUUUACAUUUUUAAUAACAAUCCAUAGGAUUGUUCCCAAACAUAUAUCAUAUAAAUAUAUCUUUUUUGGAUUUUUAAGAAUGUUGUCAAACAAACUCAUAAUACCAUUCUUUCUUUACAAUUACCAAUCCAUAUGAUGAAUUUAUUCCUUUCAAUAACUGACAUCAUCUAAUAAAAAUUAUAAUUAGGUAUUAUAUUUAAAAAGUGUUUAAUAAAUCAAUUUAAUAACUUAAGUGAUUUAAUAACUUAAUUUAAAUUAUUAAAAUAAUUUGAUGUCACAAUUUAAAGUUAAAAUUGAUUUAAUUAAUUUUUAUUUAAAUUUAAAACUAUGUUUACAAAAAAGGCUUAAAAUUCAUAUCAAUUAAGAAAUUAAGUUAUUAAGUUACUUUAAGUCAUUAAAUUAAUCUACCAAUUAAACACCCUUUAAGAUAUGAUAUAAAGUUCACCUCCUACAUAUCAUGAAAAUUAAAAAUUAAUUACCACAUCAAGAAUCUUUAGUUCCUAAUCGAUUUAAUAUUUAAUCCUUGGUUGUGAAUUUCUUUAUAUAUGUAGAUAUAUUUUUAUAUUGCAAGUGGGCUGCCGACUUUUCAUUUUAUACUAGUUUUGAAAAUAAGAUUGUAGUUUUUAUUUUGUCCAAAUCUAAUUUGGAGGGAGAAUCUUUAGAGGCUAUUUUAUAUUCAAAUAGGAAAAUUUUAAAUUUAAUAGUCCCACCUUAUAAAGGCAAAUAUCUUGGACCCUACAUGGGUGCCUCUUACAUGCAUGCACGAGGACAAAGACUUAUUGAAAGCCUCUCUCAUUCACAUGGAUGCCAUCAUUCAUCGAAGUUGAAACAUGAAACCCACACAAAAUAUUUGGGCAAAAGCAACUUCAAUAUUUUUUUUCAUUACUAUAGCUGAGAAUCUCAAUAUUAUUAAAUAGUAAUAAAAUUAAUUUUAAUAUUUUUUUUCUUAUUUUUUCCUCCUUGUGGUUAUAUUUUCAUCCGGAAAGUAUUAAAUAUUAAAAAAGAAUAAAAUUUAAAAAUUAAUUUUUCAUAUUUAAUUAUAUUGUGAAAAAUAUAAAAUAAAAUAUAAUAUAAUUAAAAUUAGUUAAAAUUUUAUAUUUUUAUAAAAUUAUUUAACUUUUUUAUAAAAAUUUAAAAUAAGUGACAUGAGUUUGAAAUAGUAUACAUAUUGACUUUAAAUUUAAUUUUUAUAUUUUUCAUUUUUCUUUUUAACUAUUCUUCUUUCUUCUCUUUCUCUCAACUUUUCCUUCAAAUUUUCCAAUAACCAAACAUAACCUAUUUGUUUCAUAAAAACUCUUUUACCUUUUUAAAUUUUUAAAAGAGUUGCUUACAUAAUAUGGAGCUAAUAGUAUUACUUGUACCUAUUAAUUUCUUUUAAGAUUAAAUUGUUCUAACUUUGUGUGAUAAAAAGUUUGUAAAGUCCAAUUUUACGAAAGAAAAUAUAUGAUUAGUGACUCCCUUGCAUUUCCUUUGGGAUUCACCCCUUCAUACUUACCGUAAAUAGUUGUACCAAUUAAUCAAACAAAAAACAUAGCAUGUAAAUAGUAAUAUGUUAAAGUUUUCUAUCGUGCCUAAGUUUAAUUAGUUCUACUUAUUUAUAUAUUGAAAUGAAAGUAAGCAUAUAUUUAAGUGGUCCAUCAAAUUUGAAACUAAUCUAUUGUAAUUACAUUCAUGUCUAUAUCAUUUAUAUUGUACAUAACUUGAGUACAUUAAAAAUUGUACAAAAAAUCCAAAUUACAAGGAAGUUUAUAUAAACUCUCUUAGGAUUAGACACUGUUAGUCAUUGCCUUCUAAAAAGCUUUCAUCUCUUUCUCCCUCAAGAGGUUUGUAGUCACUUUACACAAGUGUCAAAACUCAAAAGAGUGAUCUAAUGAAGAUGACGAGGUGAUUGAGAUCCUUUUCAUAAACUGGAGUUUGAUAUGGGAACAUUCAUAUCGAAGGUAAAAAUUUUUAUCAGCAACUAGACUUACUUUUAUCUUUCCUUAUAAUUAAACCCAAUAAUCCUAGGUUGUUAGAGACCACACACCUAUGAUCCAAGGGUUUUCCCAACAAGGAUAUCAAUAAAUCUUUCUACUCUAUUGAUGGCAUCUUGAAUUCUUUCAAAUUAAUCACUUCAUUGUAAUCGUUAUUCACUAAAUCCCAUAAAUCUUGAGAUCUAAACAUGACAUUCAUAUGAAUGCAUCAAUUAUUAUAAUUCUUACUUAUGAAUUUUGAAAGUUGAGAUUCAAUUGAGUUAUUAUUUACCAUCAUUACUUUAACAACCAAAUUGCAAAUUUCUUUAUACUAUUCACAUUCUCUGGCAGCCUUUGACCUUCCCUAAUCUUUAGCCUCUAGCUAAUACCACUUGUUUGAGCUCCCAUAAUUGGGCAGCAUUGACAAUAAUUUACUAAAAUAACAUUUUAUUCUAUCCUACUCUCUCUUUGUCAACAUAAUAAUAAACCUCUAUUUAAAAUAAGUUGAUCAUAUUUGCAUUAUCACUCUAAUUCAUAAUUAGAUUGGGAAACCUAAUUAAUAUCAAAUAAAUAACCAUUCCUAAUAUUUCUCAAAUUUAUAAAAUUCUUCUAAUUUGACUUUAAAUUGAUUUUUUAUUUUGACUAUAUAGCUUAAAAAGGAUAAUUUUUUAAAUAAUUAUCAAUUUCAUAUAAUCUUUAUAAGCAUUUGUGUUCAUAAAUUCCUUAUUAUGAUAUUAGGUUUUAGACAAUUUGACAAUAUGAUGAUGUUUUGGAAUGAAUGUUAAGUGAAUCCGUUUUACUCAAAACCAUUAAAUAAAAAAAAAAGACAGUUACACAAGUAAAAUAGUAGAUUAUUGAAGGCCAGGAGAAAAGAAGAGGAAAAUGAAAUAUUAUAUCCCUAUAAUGAGUUAGGUGGAUAUUUCAUGUGAAAAGUUUAAUGUGCAAGGUUGUUCAUGUCUAUUGAGUUUUGGGUAAUCAUUUUUUCAUGGAAAUUUUUUAUGGAAUCCUAAUCUUAGAAAGCAAUAGGAAAUUUUUUUACCAAGAUUUCUAAGAAAUAACUACAUCAAAGUGUAAGAAAAGUAUCAAACUAGAAUAUCUAAGAAAUUACUACAUCAAAGUGUAAUAGAAACAUCAAAUUAGAAAGUGAAAUAUAAUACAAUUCAACUAUGAAAAUGAAGGACAAAGGAAUAGACUAAUUGCCAAAGGAAAAUAGUCUUUUAGUUUUAAUCAGAAAUUUCUUAUAUCAUAAUUAUGACCUGUAGAGGCCACAUGGGUUGUUGGCCUUGGAGUGACUAAAAGGUACAACUAAAAAACGUCAAACAUUUGGAGAACUAAAAGAAAACAUGGAUAAAAUUUUUUUACCUAGAACAUUUAUAUAGAAAUAUUUUAUUUUUUAUUUUUAAAAAAUUAGUAAAGGUAGUAAAGUUUUUUAAAGAUUAUUUUGCGCCCUAAAAACAAAUCGUAAAGGCUUGUUAAAGAUUAUUUUGGAUAUGUUUCAUGCAUUAAUUUUUUUUAACAUUUCAAAUUUUUAAAUGAUUUUUAAAAGUUAUUACCUUUUAAAAUGUAAAUCUCAUAGAGUAUUUGCAUUAUAUAGGAAUUACUAUCAUUUUUAUUUUUUUUAAAAAAGAGAAAUGUAUUCAAAUAAUACCUUAAUUUUUCAUUUUCUAGUAUAAGGAAAUGAUUAUAUCUCACACAAACCUUGUUCAGAUACAUAUUUCAAAGUGAGAAAAAAAAAAUUCUUUUAGAGAAAAGAAGUCCUUCAAAAAGAAGAAAAAAAAAGGUUUUUCAAAGAAGAGUUAGAAGGAAAAGUGAAUUCAAUCUUAUAAUCAGCUAACAUGAUGUUGUUUGAUUACAUUUUUUAUUUUCUAUUUUUACAAAUAAAAUAUAAUAAUAACUCCUAUAUGAAAUAUAGAACUCUUUCAAACUUACUUUAAAAACAUAAUAAUAUUUAAAAAUUAAGAUAAAUUGUGAUAUUAAAAAAAAAAUUACUUCUUCAAAUUUUAAAAAUUAUGAAAAUAAAUUUUUAAUGACAUAAGAUAAGUCUAUAAAUUUUACAUAAAAGUUAUUAUAUUUUAUAUAGAAACUAUUACUAUUUUCUAUUUGUAAAAAUACAAAAUAAAAAAUAUAUCCAAGCAAGUACUAUGAGAAAUAGUUUCUAACAUUUCUUAUUAAGAAAAUGAGAAUAUUAAGAAGUAUAUUCCUACUACAUUGUUUUUUUUUUUAAUUUGAUAUCAACCCAUUCUAUUAGCUCUUUUGAGAAAUAUAGAAAAAUAACAUUACAUAAUUGCAUAGAACAAGAAUAUUAUUUAAGUUUGAGGCAAGUGUUAAAAAGAUAUUGUAAUUCUGUUACGUUGUUUAACUUCAAUGUCCUAUAUGUAACUGUUAGGAAUUUGAGGCUAAUCCAAACUAUAGUAAUCACCCUAGAGGGAGGGGGGGGGGGGGGGUAAAUAGGGUGAUGAUCUCUUUUUCACAAAUCUAAACUAUGCAAAAAUAAGAGACAAUUAUAUGUAAAUAUAUAAUAAACACAAUUACAUAUAAUUUAAAAAAUUUGGGAAAAAAAAGUGCAAAACCGAAAACUUAUAAUGGGUCGACACUUCCUUGGCCACCUUCCCUCUCCUUAAACCCCUAAACGAAUGAGGGUUCCCCUAUUUUGAAGCUUCCACCAAGCUUCCAAACCCUUUACAAAUGGAUUAAGGUUUCCAAUCCCCCUUUUGNNNNNNNNNNNNNNNNNNNNNNNNNNNNNNNNNNNNNNNNNNNNNNNNNNNNNNNNNNNNNNNNNNNNNNNNNNNNNNNNNNNNNNNNNNNNNNNNNNNNAGAGAGUGCAAACACGAGAGCUUAUAGUGGUUCGACACUUCCUUGCCUACGUCCACUCUCCUCAACCUCCUAACCGAGUGAGGGUUCCACUAUCUUGAAGCUUCAACCAAGCUUCCAAUCUCUUUACAAUUGGAUUAUGGUUCCAAUUCACCCUUUUGGACUUUUGGCUCCAAGCACCCUUUACACUUCUCAAAAGUUAUCCCACUCUUGAACAACCUCUCAAGUGAUACCCCUCACUUGAGAAAAUUCCUCUCAAAGAUAUACAAAGAUUGAUCUCACAAAAAUUGUAGUAAUAGAACUUUAAGCUCAAAUGAUACAAGAGAAACUAGGAUUGAAUGGUGCACUAAAGAUAUGCAAGUUUUGGAAUAAUGGUGCACUCAAAAAUACUCUUCCAAGGCUCAAAUAUAAUCAAGAAAGAUUUGGGAAGGUUUAGCUUAUCAAACAACGAAGUUUGGAGCCUUUUUAUAGAAGAAAAAAGUCAUACUAGCCGUUGGGGGUUUGAUCGGUCGAGCUAAGGGUCGACUGGUUGACUAACCAUUAGGAAAAGUGACUGUUGAGCCUCAACCGGACCUCAACCGGUUGAGGUUCAACCUUGACCGGGAAGAGAAGGCCACUAGGAGAGAGAGAAAGUUUUUGGCCUCCCUCAACCGGUCCUCGACCGGACGAGCACAACCAAUCGACCAGUUGAACCGGUUGAGCCAUUUUUUUGGCUCAACACUCAACAUUUUUCAACUUAAAACCUUUUAACACAAAUUUGAAAAUCAUUUAACACAAGGUUUUAGUUGAAAACAUUAAAUCAUCCAAUUCUUAAGAUAUUUAAAACAAUAUUACUCUUGGAUAAUUUUGGUGCAUAAAUAAAUAAUGAAAUGCAUGAAAGUCCUAGUGCACCAACAACCUUACAAAGAGAUCCUAAGAAGCUUUGGUCUUGAAAAACUCUUCUCUUUGAGGUGGUCUUCUUUUUCAUGAUUUCUCCUUGACUUGAUUUGUCUUUGGAUUGCCACUUUGGAAGUCGUCUUGCCUAAUCACACUUGAAAUAUGAUCAUUAGUUCUAAACCUUGUUUUGUUAUCAUCAAAAUCAAGAUUAACCAAACCUUGGUUUCACAGUAACGACUUGUUCCCAACCAUAUAGAUAUUGUCCGCUUUGGACCCAAAUGGGCCCUCACGGUUUUUAAAACUCGUCUACUUGGUUAAGAGGAACUUCUACAUAUAUAGCGUCAGACUUUCCCCCCUAUCCGAUGUGGGAUGUCACAAACACCCCCCUCCCCCCCUCCAUGUAGACACAACGUCCUCGUUGUGUCCCAUGGGAUUGUAGGGUUAAAUAGACAAACACCCCUUAUGAGGUCAAACAAACCCCAACACCGGGGUCGGGGAUCGACUCUGAUACCAUUUAUCAGAAUCCGUACUCAAUUAUAUAUAUAUUGUCCGCUUUGGACCCAAAAGGGCCCUCACGACUUUAAAACGCGUAUACUUGGUUAAGAGGAGUCUCUACACAUAUAGCACCAAGAACUUUUCCCCCUAUCCAAUAUGGGAUGUCACACUAUAUAUGUGUAACAAUUUUUCUUUAAAAAAAUUAGAGGACUUAAAAUGGGCUCUUGUCAACCUUAUUGAUAUUUGAUGUCAAAGGGAUACAACCAACCACCACAAAUAAUUGAGAGAAAAGAAAGGAAAUAAUAAUAAGAGGUAGGCCCCGGGCUCUUGUGAACCUUAUUGAUAUUUGAUACCAAAGGGAUACAACCAACUCCCACAUUUAAUUAAGAGAAAAGAUUGGGAUAUCCUCACCACCAUGUCUAGAUUGCUUUAGUAGGACCAAGAGAAGUCAUUCAGCAUCCAAAGAUCCUCUUCUUCUUCUUCUUCUUUUAAUUCUAAAUGGAGGGACAAUGUGUUCUUGAGUUUCAAAGGUGAAAAUACUCACAAAAGCUUUACUAAUCAUUUCUACUGUAUAUCUUUACUUGUAAUAAAUGUAUAAGAUAUUUGUAUUAACUGUAUAAAACAUGUACAGACCUGUAUAUCUUGAAUUUAUUAAUAUGUUUUUCUUCAUUUUCUUUGUUUUCCAUACCAAAAUACUAAAAAAAUUAUUUACAUAAUUUUUUCUUUUCACAUUUUCAUAUGUAUACAAGACACUUAUACUAAAUGUACAAGAUAUUUUCAUAUUUUGACUAAUGCCUAUACAAAUAUGCAAAUAUAUUGACAAUAGGCAAACUCAUACUAGUCUUGUAUAGUUAUGACAAAUGUCUUAUACAUUUAGGGUGUGUAUACAAUGUUUUCUAAUUCUUUGUAUAGUUAAUACAAAUGUCAUAUAUAUUUUUGAAAAUGUAAAAAAAAAAAAAAGAAGUUAUAUUUGACAUUUACACAUUAUAUAUAAACAAUAUUUCAAUUUAAUAUGGAAAAUGAAAAAAAUGCAAAUAGAUAUAUGUGAAGGGUAAAAAGAGUAUUUUUGUUCGUAAAAUUUCAUGUACUUAAACAUGAAGUAUGCAUCUUUUCACAGAUGUUGGCCAAAUUAUGAACCUCAAACACAAUUGUUUUAAAGAGAAAUGUGAAGAAAAAGAAUAUGAAUGGUAGUUGUAAGAAAAUUAAAAAAUAAAAUCAUUGACUCUUCACUCUACCAAACUAGGGAUGACAACGAGGCGAGUUUGGGAUGGGGCCUCGUUCCGUUUAACUUUUUUUUUUAAUUACUUAAAAUUUUUUUAAUUAUAUUAAAAUAAAUAUAUUUUAUAAAUAAUUAAAUUAUUAUAUUUUUAUAACUUAUUUUAUUAAAAAAUAUUUUUUUUAUUAUUUAUAUAUUAAAAAUAGUAAAAUUAAAAUUAAAAUUAAUUUAAUUUUAAAAAUUAAUUUUAUAUAUAAUAGGGGUGGAGCAAGAUAAGGCAAUAGCUGAAUCUGUCCUGGGUUUUAAAAAGAUUCCCAAACCUGUCCAAAACUCAUUUAGUUAAAAUUGAAACUCAUCCAAUUACGAGCGGGUAUCCGAAAAAACUUGUCCUAUUGUCAUCCCUAUACCCAACCACACUAUCAUCCAAUGAAUAAAACGAAAAUAACUAAAAUUAAGGAACAACCCAAGAAUCAAUGACUUCCUAGCAAGCCCAUCCAUAUCCCAACACGGACAAAAAUAUUUUAAUUUUUUUGCCUUAAAAAUCACGCAUGAAGCUUCCUAGAAAUUUCAUACUUCUUUGUCAUUAUCUAUAUUUUCUACUUCUUUUUCAUCGUCAAUAUUUGUGUAUAUAUAUAAAAUAAAACUUGCAAGAAAAUACAAAAAUGAUAGAUGGCAAAAUGGUUUUUAUGUUAAGAAGGUUCUAAAUUUUUCACACCUUUACAGUAUAAAAAAAAAAAAAAAAAAAAACUUUUUAAAUACAGAACUAUUUCGGACUUGAAUCAUUUUGAAAUUCAGAGACUUGAAAAGUGUUUGUUGGACUUGAAGGAGUUUGGAGUUAAUCUUGAACUUAGAUAUGUUUAGAAAUCAAAGUGGAUUUGAAGAAGAUUGAAAUCCACGACAUGACAACACUGUAAUAUGAAUAGUGUUUUGUCAAAAAAAAUUACUAUUUACUAUUUACUAGGGCAUAAAAGAAAAAUACAAAAUAAUACUCUAAAAAUGCGAAGGAAAGAUUGUUGGUCGUUGAAUAAGGGGAAAAAAAAGAAGAAAAGUAAAAUGUGAAAAAAAAAAGCUUCAAGAGUGCAAUUAAUAAUUGUGGUAGGCCCUGACUUUUGUCUUGUGAACCCGCCUAUUAUUGAAUGGAAAAGGGAUAUAGCCAACCAAAAUAAUUGAGAGUAAAGAAAGGAACACCUCACCACUAUGCUCCAAAUUGAGAGAAAAACAAAGUCAGCCGGCAUCCAAGGACAUUUUUAUUAAAAAAGUAAAGAAAAGAAAUGGUGCUUUAGCUAUUAUCAUAUCAACUCCUAGGAAAUAAAUGAAAAGAACAAGUAAAUGAAAAGAAACAAAAAAAAAAGUUCUUAGAAUGCAAAAAGAAGAUAUUGGAUAUUGAAUGCCCAAAAGAGAAAAAAAUAAAAUGGUAAGAUGUAAAGAAAAGAGUCAGAAAAGCUUCACAAUUGCAAUUAAUAAUUGAGGUACGACUUGGACUUUUGUGAACCCUCACUGUUAAUGCUAAAGGGUUACAGCUAAGGAAAGGAUAAAUGGGAGAGAAGAACAGGACAUCCUCACCACCAUCGUCUUAGCAUCAAAGACCCUCUUUUUUCUUCUUCCAAAUUCUGUUCUUGUAAUUUUGUUACAAUCCAACCAUGGCUUCCUCUAGCAAUUCUAAGAGACCCUUUUGUUCUUCUUCUUCUUCUAAUUCUAAAUGGAGGUACGAUGUGUUCUUGAGUUUCAGAGGCGAGGAUACCCGCAACAACUUUACUAGUCAUCUCUACAAGGAUUUGGAUAAGGCCAACAUUAAAACCUUUAAAGAUGAUGAAGAACUUCGAAAGGGAGGAGAGAUUGCACCCGAGCUCCUAAAAGCUAUUGAAGAAUCAAGGAUCGCCAUUAUCGUCUUCUCGAAAACCUAUGCUCAUUCCAAGUGGUGCUUGGAUGAACUCGUCAAGAUCAUGGAGUGCCAGAAAGAAAAGGGACAAAUAGUUUAUCCCGUUUUCUAUCACGUACGGCCGUGUGAAGUCAGGAACCAGUAUGGGACUUAUGGAGAAGAAUUUAAGAAACACGAGAGCAAUGCGGACGAGGAGAAGAAGAAGAAAAUAGGGGAGUGGAGGACUGCCUUAAGGAAAGCCGGUGAUUUGAGUGGAUUUAGUCUGCGGGAUAGGUAAUCCCUACUUCACUUUUUCCAUUUCCAAUUUUCUGUCAGUUUAUUUUCAUUCUUGUUAGUAAAUAAAAUAUUUAUGAUUACAUAUAUCAAUCAAAAUCCAGUUUUUAAGUAGUAGACAUUAAUAUGUUUGAUUUCUUGGAAAGUAAUAAGAAGAGUUAAAAAUAAAUAAAAAUAAAAAUUUAAAAAAUUUGAUUUUCUUAUAUUUAAUGUAUUAUUAAAAAAUAUGAAAGAAAAUAAAAAUAUAAUUAAAAUACAUUGUAAAAAUAUAUAUAAUUAGUUUAUAAUUAAAAUAAUCUUAGAAAAUCUAUAGUAGUUGUUCUGGGCUCAUUCAGGCCCAACAGGUAAUCCCUAUUUCACUUUUUCCAUUACCAAUUUUCUGUCGGUUUAUUUUCAUUCUUGUUAAUAAAUAAAAUAUUUAUGAUUACAUUUAUCAAUCAAAAUCCAUUUUUAAGUAGUAGACAUUAAUAUGUUUGAUUUCUUGGAAAGUAAUAAGAAAGAGUAAAAAAAAAAAUUGACUUUCUCACAUUUAAUUUAUUAUUAAAAUUAUAAAAGGAAAUCAAAUAUAAUUAAAAUAUAUCGAAAAAAAAAAUAUUUGCCUACAAUUGGGAUAAUAUUAGAAAAUCUAUAGUAGGUGUUGUGGGCUCAUUCAGGCCCAGGUAAUACUGGUAAAAAAAUAAAAUAAAAUAAUUAUGCCAAAUGCCAAGUUUUGAAUUGUUAAAAAUCUUUAAGAUUCCAAAAUAUUCUUCCUUUCUAAUCAAUCCAUCUCAGCCAUAAUUUCUAUCAAUUAAAUUGUUCAAAUUGGUUAUUUAUAUGCUUUGUAAAUUUGGAGAUAAUCUGAGAUGAUUAUUUAAAAUAUUGUAAUACUACCCUAAAUUUUUUUGGACCCUCUUAUGGGACAAAAAACUUAGUUAUUGCACCCUUAACCUUUUUCAAUUUUAGAGGAAUUUUCUAUUACUAAAAUAAUUUUCUCAUGUUCUCUGUGCACUACAUGAGUUUACAUUUCUUCUUUACUUAAUAUUGUUUGUUCCUCUAUAUUUGCAAGUUGAUUAUUAAAUUUAUUUACCUUUUAAUCUAAUGUUUGUAUCUCGUUUUAUUCUAAUUAUCCCAUGACAUCUGGAUAAUCUCUUCUUAAGACCUUGACAUGACAUAAUGAAAUUUUAUUUAAACAUGCAAUUCAACACAUUUUUAAUUUACAUUCUAUUUGACCUUAAUUUAAUUGCACCGAACUAAAGAUCAUUCUAUAAUUUCCAUUUACUUCAUCUUUGUUUUCUUUGACAAUUGAUUGUAGCUUACUCCAUGUUUUAUUGUACUUUAUAAUGGACAGAUCUGAGGCAGAGUUUAUUGAAGAAAUCAUUGGUGAGAUUCGAAGAUUAAUUCCUAAGUGGGUACAUGUUGGUGAGAAUAUUGUUGGAAUGGAUGAAAAUUUGAAAAAAGUGAAGUUAUUGAUAGAUGCCCAAUCAAAUAAAGUGAGUAUGGUUGGGAUUUAUGGGACUGGUGGGAUUGGUAAAACUACCAUCGCCAAGGUUGUUUACAAUGAUAUGUUAGAUCAAUUUAAAUGUCACAGCUUUCUUGAAAAUGUGAGAGAGAAAUAUGAAGAUAAAGGUGAUUUGCUUCAAUUACAAAAAGAACUUCUUUGUGAUAUCCUAAUGGAGAAAAAUCUGGUGUUAAGGAAUAUUGAUGAAGGAUUUAAAAAGAUAAAGAGUAAGCGUCACUCUGAAAAGGUUCUUAUUGUUCUUGAUGAUGUAGGUUGUGAAGAACAAUUAAAAUUCUUAGCUCCUAAUUCUGAAUGUUUUCAUCCAGGAAGCAUAAUCAUUGUGACCACGAGAAAUAAGCGUUGCCUAGAUGUAUAUGACUCGUAUUCAUCAUAUGAGGCUAAGAGAAUGGCAGACAAGCAAGCUGAGGAACUCUUUUGUUGGAAUGCCUUCAAGCAAGACCAUCCCAUAGAAAAUUUUGUGGGCCUCUCUAAUCGUAUACUGGAUUAUGCUGACGGCCUUCCAUUGGCUCUUGUAGUUUUGGGUUCUUUUCUCUUUCAAAGGCCUAUGGAUGAAUGGGAAAGCACAUUGGAUGAACUCAAAACAAUCCCUCCCGAGAAUAUUCAAAAGGUACUCCAGAUAAGUUAUGAUGGACUAAGUGAUGAACGCAAGAAGUUGUUUCUUUAUAUUGCAUGCUUCUUCAAAGAUGAGGAUGAAAAAAUGGCAACAAGAAUACUAGAAAGUUGCAAAUUACAUCCCGCUAUUGGACUAAGAGUUCUUCAUGAGAGGUGUCUUAUUUCUAUAGAGGACAACACUAUAAGGAUGCAUGACUUGUUACAAGAAAUGGGUUGGGCAAUUGUUUGCAAUGAUCCAGAACGUCCAGGAAAAUGGAGCAGAUUGUGCGAAUUACAGGAUAUUGAAAGUGUAUUAUCACAAAAUGAGGUAAGAGAAAAAUACAUGAACAUACUUGAGAUCUAAAGACAUAAAAGAUUCAACAAGAUUUAUUUUUAUUAUUAUUAUAGUUUGAGUAUAUUAUCUAUAUAAUUUUAGUGAAUCCCUAUGCAUCUUAUACUGCUCAUUCUCAAUCCUUGUUUUCAGUGGACAAAAAACAUUGAGGGGAUUUUCACAAGUCAGUCUCGCCAUACAGGAAAACAUAUACAACUUACUACUGAAGUUUUCAGAAAUAUGAAUCAACUUAGAUUGCUCAAAGUCGAAUUCAAUCAGAUCGUGCAGCUUUCCCAAGACUUUGAAUUGCCUUGUCAUGAUUUAGUAUAUUUUCAUUGGGAUUACUACCCUUUAGAAUAUUUGCCAUCAAAUUUUCAUACAGACAAUCUUGUUGAACUCAACCUCUGGUGUAGCCGCAUAAAACAUCUUUGGGAAGGAAAUAUGGUAUUGCUAUUAUUUAGUUAUAUUUUUGUUGUAGACUAAUUUUAAAGUCUUUUGAAGUUUACUUCUUGACACAAAUUUUCUUCUGUUACAGCCUGCUAAAAAGUUAAAAGUCAUUGAUCUUAGUUAUUCCAUGCAUCUGGUUGACAUUUCAAGCAUCUCAAGUAUGCCAAAUUUGGAGACUCUAACUCUAAAAGGUUGUACAAGGUUCCUUAAGUGUUUCAUCCAUGCUAAAUGUUAUUAUCAGUCAUGAACUAAUUGUUUUCUUGAAUAUAAUAGGGUGCACGAGACUUAAGAGUCUUCCAAGGAACUUUCCUAAGUUGGAAUGCCUUCAAACACUCUCUUGUUGUGGCUGUUCAAACUUAGAGAGUUUUCCGAAGAUCGAGGAAGAAAUGAGAAGUCUAAGAAAGCUUAAUUUAAGUCAAACAGGUAUAAUGGGAUUACCAUCAUCAAUUAGCAAGCUAAAUGGGCUUAAAGAGUUGGACUUAAGUAGUUGCAAAAAGCUUUCGAGUCUUCCGGACAGUAUUUAUAGUUUGAGCUCUCUUCAAACUCUCAAUCUAUUUGCAUGUUCACGACUAGUGGGCUUUCCGGGUAUCAAUAUUGGAAGUCUAAAAGCUCUUAAAUACUUGGAUUUGUCAUGGUGUGAGAACCUUGAGAGUCUUCCGAAUAGUAUUGGUAGUUUGAGCUCUCUUCAAACUCUUUUAUUGAUAGGGUGUUCAAAACUGAAGGGCUUUCCAGAUAUCAAUUUUGGAAGUCUAAAAGCUCUUGAAUCGUUAGAUUUCUCAGGUUGCAGAAACCUUGAGAGUCUUCCCGUGAGCAUUUACAAUGUAAGCUCUCUCAAAACUUUGGGGAUUACAAAUUGUCCAAAACUCGAGGAAAUGUUAGAGAUGAAACUAGGGGUUGAUCCAUGCCCCUGGCCAUUUUCACCUCUAACCUGUCACAUUUCAAAUUCAGCAAUAAUCUGGGAUGAUCACUGGCAUGACUGCUUUUCCUCAUUAGAAGCAUUAGACUCACAGUGCCCCCUGUCAUCACUGGUAGAAUUAUCUGUAAGAAAGUUUUAUGACAUGGAAGAAGACAUCCCCAUUGGCAGUUCCCACCUAACCUCAUUGGAAAUAUUAUCUCUGGGGAACGUCCCUACAGUAGUAGAAGGAAUCCUCUAUGACAUUUUCCAUCUAUCUUCAUUGGUAAAAUUAUCUCUUACUAAAUGCAAGCCAACAGAAGAAGGAAUCCCCCGUGAUAUUCAGAACCUAUCUCCACUGCAACAAUUAUCUCUACAUGACUGCAAUCUAAUGAAAGGAACGAUCCUCGAUCAUAUUUGCCAUCUAACAUCCUUGGAAGAAUUAUAUCUGGGUUGGAACCAUUUUAGUAGCAUUCCUGCUGGCAUCAGUCGACUUUCCAAUCUAAAAGCCCUUGACUUGAGUCACUGCAAGAAGCUUCAACAAAUUCCAGAGCUUCCAUCUAGUCUACGAUUUUUAGAUGCGCACUGUCCGGAUCGUAUUUCAUCAAGCCCCUUGCUUCUACCUAUUCAUUCUAUGGUCAAUUGCUUCAAAUCAAAAAUUGAGGUAUGAUUCUCAUGCCACGUUCCUUUUUCUUUUGUACCCAUUGGAUUUACAUGGUGCUUUCGUGCAGGGGCGCAAGGUUAUUAAUAGGUAUUCUUCCUUCUAUGGCAAUGGGAUUGGUAUUGUUAUUCCUAGUAGUGGAAUUCUAGAGUGGAUAACGUAUCGGAAUAUGGGAAGGCAAGUAACAAUAGAGCUCCCUCCGAAUUGGUAUAAAAAUGAUGACUUGUGGGGAUUUGCUUUAUGCUGUGUUUAUGUUGCACCUGCCUGUAAAUCUGAGGAUGAAUCUCAGUAUGAAUCAGGUCUUAUAUCUGAGGAUGACAGUGACCUUAAAGAUGAAGAAGCAAGCUUUUAUUGUGAAUUGACAAUCGAAGGAAAUAAUCAAUCAGAAGACGUGGGUCAUUUCUUUCUUCAUUCUCGCUGUAUUAAGGAUGAUGUAUCAGAUAUGCAGUGGGUGAUAUGUUAUCCCAAGUUAGCUAUUGAGAAAAGUUAUCACACCAAUCAAUGGACACACUUCAAGGCUUCAUUUGGUGGUGCCCAAGUGGAAGAGUGCGGAAUCCGUCUUGUAUACAGAAAAGAUUAUGAACAGAAGCAUCCAAGAAUGGCACAAGGCAGUACUUCUCAUGGGAAUUUUGGUGAGCAUGGAUCAGUAAGAGAAGAUACUGAUAGUAAAGCUCACAAUAAAAGGAAUCCCACAGAACAGAGCCCAGGAGAGGAGUCACACCAUAAAAGAUCCAGAGAAACCCAAGACUGAUCUCAAGUAUUAGGCUCAACCACACUUGCAUCACUAAUGCUCUCUUUACUGGUAAUUCAUCUUCCUUUCUCUUUCUAAUUCAAAGGUCAGAAUUUUUUUUUUAUCGUGUUUCUCCUUUUUAUUUGUUUUUUUUUUCCCCAAGACAAACAAAACUUUGAGGCUAUCACCCAUGGGCGCAAACUUCAAUGGUACACCUCCCAAGUUUGUUUUUCUCUCUCUCCAACCGUCUCUCCCUAGAUUUUUCUGCAUUUUCUUCAAACUCAUAUUUCCAUAUGAAAUUCAAUUACAUUCGAGCAUUUCAAUCUCUGUAGCUACUGUCUGAAUCAAUUAUAGGGUUUCUUUUUUCUGGAAGUUUGUAAUGUUAUUGAUUUAAGACUUCAUGUUUGGGGAUGUUUUGGGUGGCUUGUUCACUGGUAUUACUUGUGAUAAUUGCAGCUCUGGUGCUUUCAAUGACUGACAAUAGUUGAAACUAUGUUGAAUGCUUGUACUAAGGGAAUGGACUUCAGCUGCUCCAGGGUUAGUGCUAUAACAUCAGUAUUCACUCUUCAAGAAUGUAUAUAGUUGUUGUUUUGGAAUUUUGAAAUUACUUAGCAUCAGACAAUUUCUAACUCGGGAUUUGGAUUGGGAACCAUAAGUUAUCUCACCCUAGUGUUCUUUGGAAUAAUUAUAGGAUUUUGUAAGUAACUUUGGACUUGUUAGCAAUGUUCUGGAUUUGUGAAUAAUUUAUAGAAUACAUUGGGUGUUUUUUUUUUUUGGUCCAUCAAAAACUUCAAGAACUUUGAGGGUGAAUAAUGUAUGACUGUACUCUUCUCUAUCUCUGUGGUCAUAGCACACGUAUGAUUUGGUGCUUUUUUGCAGGCCUUCAACAGCAGCAAAGCAUCUGGUGGCUUGCAGUACUAAUCUUGCAUUAUAUUCUCUGUUUUGCAAUCAUUUGGUACUUUUUGUCCCAACCAAGGAUAGCUCUGUGCAAGCAGUCUCGACUGUGGAACAAGUAAAACAAAUGGUACCUGCUGAAGCUGAGAGUGCAGAUGAUAAACUGGUGCGGAAGGUGGUCAACCAAAAGAAUCAGACAGCAAAAACUAAAAAGCCCAUGAAGCCUGCUACUGAAGCAGUCUCAGCACCUGUUUCUAGGAGGGGUGAGAUUGAAGUGACUGAAGAAAAGGAGCAUCAGCAAACAAAGAAGGAAGAGGAGUUGGCCAGGAAGGUAGAGGAAUUGAGAAGUGAAGAAGAAGCAGCCAUGUUGAAGGAGCAAAGUCUGUUGGAGGAGAGAAAGCCAACGUUAAGGAGGCACUGGAAAGGCAACAAGGAACUGCAGAAAAGGCCAAUUUCUCUGUGAGUGCUGCCACCUUUUCAUGAUACAGCCAUCAUAAUGGAUGUUAAAAGCAGUCUAACUCUACAUACUUCCUUGCAUUAUACUAGUCAUUGAUGGGCUUAAAUUUUAAUUUAAAUGUAGUAUAAAUAUAUAAGUAGAUUGAUUGGGUCUGAAUUUGAACCUGGUUCGAGUCAUACUCCCAUCCAAUCCAAACUUGUGAUUGGGCUUGAAUUUCUUGGCCCAACCAGCGAAAUCAUUGACCAACGGCCCUUAGUUUGGGCUGGGCUUGAUGGUCCUCAGGUUAUGUAGGCUUAAUACUGAUUGGGUUUGGGCUUCCAUGCAGUUGUACUUGGAUUCUAUGUUUCCUAAUAUUAACACUAAAUUAGGUUUAAUUUAUAAUUAAAUAUAAUUAGUUUGAGACUAACUCCAAUCUUUAGUUAAACCAACUAAGUUUUAUGCAAAGGUUUAUAUUCCUAAUACCAUCAGGUAUUAUAGUAAAUACCAUUGAAAAACUAAAUUCAUGUGGAAGUUUCACUAGGUGAUACGACAUUAAAUUAUUAAGAUAAAAUUAAAAAAAGAUCAUGCUCGUAUGUCCCGUUGUUUGUCAUAAGAGAAUUUCUUUCUAGAUUUUUUUUUUUUUGCUCUUUUCAAUUCUAGAUAUUUUAAUAUAUCUUUACUUUUUCAAAAACAAUCCAUAGGAUUGUUCCCAAACAUAUAUCAUAUAAAUAUAUAUUUUUAAGAUUGAUUUUUAAGAAUGUUAUCAAAUAAACUCAUAAUAGCAUUUUUUUCUUUACAAUUACCAAUUCGUAUGAUGAAUUAAUUACUUUCAAUAACCGACAUCAUCUAAUCAAAAUUAUAAUUAAGUAUCAUAUUAAAAGAGUGUUUAAAAAAUCAAAUUUAAUAACUUAAAGUGAUUUAAUAAUUUAAUUUAAAUUAUUAAAAUAACUUGAUGUCACAAUUUAAAGUUAGAAAUGACUUAAUUUAUUUUUAUUUAAAUUUAAAACUAAGUUUACAAAAAAGGUUUAAAAUUCAUAUCAAUUAAGAAAUUAAGUCAUUAAGUUACUUUAAGCCAUUAAAUUGAUCUACCAAUUAAACACCCUUGAAGAUAUUACAUAAAGUUCACCUUCUACAUAUCAUGAAAAUUUAAAAUUAAUUACAACAUCAAGAAUCUUUAGUUCCUAAUCGAUAUCAUAUUUAAUCCUUGGUUGUAAAUUUCUUUACAUAUGUAGAUAUAUUUUUAUAUUGCAAGUGGGUUGCCGACUUUUCAUUUUAUACUAGUUUUGAAAUUAAGAUUGUAGUUUUUAUUUUGUCCAAAUCUAAUUUGGAGGGAGAAUCUUUAGAGGCUAUUUUAUAUUCAAAUAGGAAAAUUUUAAAUUUAAUAGUCCCACCUUAUAAAGGCAAAUAUCUUGGACCCUACAUGGGUGCCUCUUACAUGCAAAAGGACAAAGACUUAUUGAAAGCCUCUCUCAUUCACAUGGAUGCCAUCAUUCAUCAAAGUUGAAACAUGAAACCCACACAAAAGCAAUUUCAAUAUUUUUUUUCAUAACUAUAGCUGAGAAUCUCAAUAUUAUUAAAUAGUGACAAAAUUAAUUUCAAUAUUUUUUUUUCUUAUUUUUUGCUCCUUGUGGUUAUAUUUUCAUCUGGAAAGUAUUAAAUAUAUUAAAAAAGAAAAAAAUUAUAAAAAAAUUUUUUUCCUAGUUAAUUAUACUAUGAAAAAUAUAGAGUAAAAUAAAAUAUAAUUAAAAUUAGUUAAAAAAUUAUAUUUUUAUAAAAUUAUUUGACUUUUUUAUAAAAAUUUAAAAUAAGUGACAUGAGUUUGAAAUAGUAUAUAUAUUGACUUUAAUUCUUUCAAAUUAAUCACUAGGUUGUUAGAGACAUACACCUAUGAUCCAAAGGUUUUCCCAACAAAGAUAUCAAUAAAUCUUUCUACUCCAUUGAUUGCAUCUUGAAUUCUUUCAAAUUAAUCACUUCAUUGUAAUCAUUAUUCACUUCAUUGUGAUUUGUCAGACAACAAUUCAUUUCUGCUUCAUGGUUGGACCUUGAGGUAAGGCUUUAGAGGCAUAAGCCUCAAAAGCCUCUUAAAAUUGGUUCUACACUUCUUGCAUGAUGAAUGCAAGUUCCAAAUUUUGAUGACUUGGUAAUGUUGGAGUAAUUGGGUUGAAAGCAGUCAAACACAAAUAUUUAUUAAAGAAGAUAAAAAUUUGGAAGAAUUAAAAUUUUAUUGUAUUCUACCACUCUUUUUUUUAUUCAAAUAUUACAUAAUCCUUUAUUAACUAAAAAUGACAUAAUUAAAAGUAAAUUAUCAUUUGAUUGCAAUGGAUUUAAUAGAAUAUGGUGGAUAUGCUAAAUUUUUGUCUGAUAAUAAAAUUUGAUUUGAGUGAAUAUAAUUAGAGUAAAAUAGUCUUUUUAACUAUCACUUUUACAAUAAAAAGUGUUUUAUUUAAACAAAUAUUUAAUAAAAUUUUAAAAACAUUUGAUAAAUAAUUAUUAUAAAAACUCUUCCUCGAAAAUACUUCAAAGUUCGUCGGAUGGUAAAUUAUACAUCAAGAUCUUAAUGAUGGUCCAUGCAACCAUCACCAUUGAUUGUUUUUGAAAACACAACUUCAAUUUAAAUAAUAUUUUAAGGUAACUCCUAGUUAUCAUAUUUUACAAGAUAUUUUUUAAAAUUAUUGUUUUUUUUCUUUCAAAAUCCUAAGAGAGAGGUCACCAAUAUCAAAAUAAUGUGACCCAUCUCUAUACUAUUGUCUCCAUUAUUUGGACUAUAUCAUAGUUUCCUUAUUGACAACAUGGUAGCCAUGUUAAAUACCUACAACUUUGAAAACAAGAUCUCAAAACUAUGCCUAUUUGAUUAUAAGGCUUAAUUAUUAUAGUUUAUCAUUUCCUAGCAUAUAUAGUUCUUAGCAUCUAAGUAUUUGUUAUAUAAGAAUUUUUCUCAUUUUUCAAGCUUGCAUUUUGUUUAGAAAUUUUUUGAGUUUUUUACAAUCAUUUUGAAAAUGUCAACUCAUAAUUAUAUACAUUUUAGUUCUAUAAGGACUAAAAUCACUUAACAUCAUGGUAAUACUAUUUAAGGUAAUUUGCUUUGAAUCAGAAUGAACUUAUAUACAACUUACGAUUUAUGGUAAUAAUAGAGAUCGAAUUUAAAAAUACAUAAGUUUUCAAUUAAAUAUUAAUAUAUUUAUGUUUCCUUCUUAUUUUUAAUCCUAAAACACAUUAAAUGUAUGCUCUUGAAUUCCUCCAUGUAAUGCGAUUUGAUAUAAUGAUAAAUCAACAAUUAUGAUUUAAUAAUAUGGUGCUUUGACUUUUGACAUUUAAGUAACACCGUCAAUAAAAGCUCCAUAUCUUUGCUUCAUGGAAGAACGUACAAAUGAUGUGAUUGAAUUACAUUUCAAUUAUGUUUGAUUCUUUGAAAAUACUCAAGAAAAAUAAAUAUUUAAAAAAAUAAUUUUCUCAUAUUUGAUUUUACUAUAAAAAAAAUACAUAAUUAAAAUUAGUAAUAAAUUUAAAUAAUUUUAAAUUACUUAAUCUUUAUAUAAAAAAGUUAAAUUAGUAAAACGAGUUUAAAACAUGAUAUAAAGGUAAUUUAUUGACUUUAAUUUUUUUUUUUUACUUCACUUUUUCUUUCCUUCUCUUUGAUGAGAUCAUCUUAGAUAAAUUGUUAAUUGAUUGCAGCAUAUUCAAUUGAAUUCGAUAGUCUAGGUAUCAUAAAUCAUACAUGUUGUGCACCAUUUACAGUAAAUGAACCGUCACAAACCAUACAUAGAGGAGAUGUUGAUUUCAUUAUAAAUCAUACGAUAAUUACAAAAGAUAUGAUAUUAACUUGCAGUAAAUUGCAACAUCGGCACUCUAAUGCUAGACAAAGUAACUAGACAAAGUAAGUCUAAUUAUUGCUAACUUUCCUCAUCUUUCUUGGGCCUUUUGGGUGCUUUUUGUGCAAAAGAGAAAAAGCUAUAACUAAAUUGCCAAUCCAUCACCGACGUUAUAGACUGAUGAAGAAUACCAAAGGGAGUGUUACGAAAUAAUGAGAAUAAAUAAUAAGAAAAAUAGAAUAAGAACACAUAGAUAUACGUGAAAAACUUUAGAUGGGAAAAAUCAUGAGAAAACGAGAAAAAGAUCCGUUAUGUCAAAAAUUGGUACAAAAUGGGAGAGUUGAAAGCGACUACAACAAAAGUAUAAUCAUCGUAACCCUAAAACUAUACAUCAUUAUUAUAUAUAUAUAUAUAUGUAUAUAUAUAUAUAUGCGAGAGUUGAGAACAACUAUGGGAUGAGGUCUAUCGACUCGAUCCCUUCACUACCCCCACAAAUCUCUCAAAAAAUCUCAUAAUUUUAACUUUACUACAUAUAUUGCAUCGCGAGCUUUUCGAAUUGAAUAAAAAAGAAUUUGGAAUCAUCAAACAGUAACAAAGGGAGUGAGAUCAUAACUUUGGAAGGAUUUUUUUUUUUUUUAAAUGUAGACUUGAAUGGUAAAUACUAAAAUGUGUUUGAGAGUGAUACUUGAAAGUAUUUUUAAUAUUUUUAAUAUUCGAAAAAUAAAAAAUUUUCAAAUAUUAAAAAUAUUUCCUAAAAUCAAUAUCAAAAACCAUUUUACAAAAUCAGUAUCAAACUAUCAAACAUAAUUUGAAUUUAAAUAGAGACAAGAACAACAUUGACUCUUGACUCACCAAACCAGUCCUAGUUCACUUAUUGAAUGAAAAGAAAAUAAUUAAAAAUAAAUAACAGCAUCCAUUCUACCAUGUUAUGAAGAGUAAAAGACAAUGGAGAUUUUAACUUUGUUGCCUUAAAAGUCAUGCCCCCUUUCAUGAGUAUAUAUAAUAAAAUAUAUUCGUUUGCAUCUCUUGAAUGCAAAUAAUUUGAUAAUUUUUUUAUAAUUAAUUUAUGAAGAUAACAAUUUGAUAAUUAGACAAUUAUGUUGAUAUUUUGACAUUAUUAUCAAUUUACCAAAUAAGAUUGUUUUUCACCCAACAAUAAUUUACUUAGAAUAAUAAAUAAAUUAAAUUAGCUAACGUAACCAAAGCAUUUGAUUAAAAAUUGGUUUUCAUUUACAAAGAUAAGUUGAAAAUUAAUUUUAAUUUGAUUUAAUUAGGAAAUUAAUUUUUUGCUUGUUAAGUUUGUUUUAAUUUGUAAAUUCAUGUAAAUAAAAAAAAGGAUAAAAAGAUAAUUUUCAUGUGAAAAUUCAUUUAAUUUGAAAAUAAAUGAUGUAAUGUGUUUCAUUGUCGGUUAGCAUUUUUCUUUUUUUCUUGUUUGUAUAACUUUUUAAAAUGUAAAAGAUAAUAAUAAAAUAAGAAAUAAUCAAUAAAUUAAAAAAAUAAAAUAAAUGAUCUCACUAAAAAUGUUUUUUUACCUUAUGUCAUAUGACUUGGAUUAUUUUUUUUCUCUUUUCAGUAAAACAAACUUUUAAUAUAAAUAAAAAAAUAAAAUAGGACAUAGAGGAAAAUAGCUAAAGAGUAUAAAAAAAAUUCAAAAUAAUGCACUAAAAAUGGAAAGAGAAUAUGGUGAGUAGUUGAAUAAUAAUAAAUAAAAAAAAGUCAAAAAAGCUUCAAUACUCUUUGAAUCCACUGUUAGUGAAUGCCAAAAGGCAUACAUCAUACACGCAACUAGAAAUAAAAUGGUAAAAUAUAAAGAAAAGAGUCAGAAAAAGCACGAAGACUACAAUUAAUAAUCGUGGCAGGACUUCGACUCUCGUGAACCCCCCACUGUCACUCAAUGCUAUAGGGUUACAGGCUUGGAGCCAAUCAAAGAUAAUUGAGACAGAAGAACCAGACAUCCUCAACACCAUCGUCUCAGACUCUCAGCAUUCAAAGACCCCUUUGUAUUUUCUUCUUCCAAAUUCUGUUCUUGUAAUUUUGUUACAAUCCAACCAUGGCUUCCACUAGCAAUCCCAAGAGACCCUCUUCUUCUUCUAAUUCUAAAUGGAGGUACGAUGUGGUCUUGAGUUUCAGAGGCGAGGAUACCCGCAACAACUUUACUAGUCAUCUCUACAAGGCUUUGGAUCAUGCCAACAUUGAAACCUUUAUAGAUGAUGAAGGACUUCCAAGGGGAGAAGAGAUUGCGCCCGAGCUCCUAAAAGCUAUUGAAGGAUCAAGGAUUGCCCUUAUUGUCUUCUCGAAAACCUAUGCUCAUUCCAAGUGGUGCUUGGAUGAACUCGUCAAGAUCAUGGAGUGCGAGAAAGAAAAGGGACAACAGGUUUUUCCUAUUUUCUAUCAUGUAGAGCCGUCUGAAGUCAGGAACCAGACUGGGAUUUAUGGAGAAGCAUUUAACAAUCACGAAAGAAAUGCAGACGAGGAGAAGAAGAAGAAGAAGAUAGAGCAGUGGCGGACUGCCUUAAGGAAAGCUGGUAAUUUGAGUGGAUUUCCUCUGCAGGAUAGGUAAUCCCUACUUCACUUUUUCCAUUCCCAAUUUUCUGUCAGUUUAUUUUCAUUCUUGUUAAUAAAUAAAAUAUUUAUGAUUACAUUUAUCAAUCAAAAUCCAUUUUUAAGUAGUAGACAUUAAUAUGUUCGAUUUCUUGGAAAGUAAUAAGAAAGAGUAAAAAAAAAAAAAAAAAAGAUUUUCUCACAUUUAAUUUAUUAUUAAAAUUAUAAAAGGAAAUCAAAUAUAAUUAAAAUAUAUCAGAAAAAAUUAUAUUUGCCCAGCAGGUGGAAAUGCCAAGUUUUGAAUUGUUAAAAAUCUUUAAGAUUCCAAAAUAUUCUUCCUUUCUAAUCGAUCCAUCUUAGCCAUAAUUUCUAUCAGUUAAAAAAAAUGGUAGUCUGUCAAAUAAAUUGUUAAAAUUGGUUAUUUAUAUGCCUUGUAAAUUUGGAGAUAAUCUGAGAUGAUUAUUUAAAAUAUUGUAAUACUACCCUAAAUUUUUUUGGACCCUCUUAUGGGACAAAAAACUUAGUUAUUGCACCCUUAACCUUUUUCAAUUUUAGAGGAAUUUUCCAUUACUUAAAUAAUUUUCUCUUCUUCUCUGUGCACUACAUGAGUUUACAUUUCUUCUUUACUUAAUAUUGUUUGUUCCUCUAUAUUUGCAAGUUGAUUAUUAAAUUUAUUUACCUUUUAAUCUAAUGUUUGUAUCUCGUUUUAUUCUAAUUAUCCCAUGACUCUUCUUAAGACCUUGUCUUUCACGUUGAAUCAUCUAAUGCUAAACUUAUUCCCUUACUAUUCUACUUUGUGUACUCAUGGGAUUAAUGUAUUGCAAUCAAAAUUAUUUUUUUUAAUCUCUUUUUCUCUUGUAUGUUCUACAUUCCUCUAUACCUCACAAAUAAAAGCAAGUAACCUUACAGCUUGUUUGACAAUAUAUUUGCAACUAAUGUUCAAAAAAUAGUUUUCCCCAACACAAUGUUGAAAAUAAUGAACAAAAUUUUAUUUGAAAAUUCAAAUAUGAAGAACGACUUUCUCGACUUAUUAACUAUGAAGGUGCUAUAAAUUUUUGUACAACAUAACAAUUCUCUAAGUAUUAUCUAUAUUUUCAAUUCUUUAUCACAAUACUCUAUAAGAAAAUACCUAAAAACAUUUCAAAUAUGCUCUUAAAAAUGAACUUGUUUACCAAACAAAUUUUUGAAAAUUAUUUUUAAUAAAAGAAAAAAUUAAAAAUAUAAUCAAGUGACAUGAAAUAUGGGAUGAAAAAUAAUAAGUUCUGUAUAUUAGAUUGACUAUACACACAGUUUAUAUUGGAUAUUACAAGAGAAGAAAUAAGAAACAAGAGACAUAAUAGAAAACUAACUUAUUCAUAAACUAACUUAUUCCUAAAUCAUAAAACUAUCUAUUUACAAAAAUAAAAAACUAAUAUAAUAUGAAAAUAAUUCUCCUAUUCUAUUUACAGCUCAAUUACAACCUAUUUACAGCUCAACACUCCCCCUCAAGCUAAGGAAUAGAUGUCUUCCAUUCCAAGCUUGAAUACAAGAUCGUGAAACAUUGAACUGUUCAGCCCUUUUGUUAGGAUAUCAACUAAUUGAUGUUUUGAUGGAACAUAGGACAUACACACUACUCCUUCCUCCAAUUUUUCUUUGAUAAAAUGCCUAUUAAUCUCAAUAUGUUUUGUCCUAUUGUGUUGUAUAGGGUUAUGAGCAAUAUUGAUAGCUGACUUGUUGUCACAAUAGAGCUUCAUAUGACCAUCCCACUUGAUUCUCAAAUCAUCUAGAAUAAUCUUCAGUCAAAGUAGUUCAUACAACCCUUGAGCAAUGUCCCUAAACUCUGAUUUUGCAGACGACCUUGCUACCACAUUCUGCUUUUUACUUUUCCAUGUUACCAGAUUACCUCGAGGAAAAGUACAAUACCCUAUAGUUGAUCUUCGAUCCACUAGGGAACCUGCAUAGUCAACGUCAGUAUAUGCUUCUAGAGUAAGAGUAUUGUUCUUUUUGAACAAAAUUCCUUUCCCGGGGUUGCCUUUCAAGUAAUGCAGCACCCUGUAAGCAACUUGAAGAUGAGGUUCUCUUGGAUCAUGCAUGAAUUGACUGAUCACGCUCACCGAGUAGGCGAUGUCUGGCAAGUGUGAGCAAGGUAUAUGAGCCUACCAACUAGCCUUUGGUACAUUCUUUUAUCCACCACUGGUUCUUCUUUAGCUUCUCCCAACUUGUGAUUUGGAUCCAUUGGGGUAGAGACUAGUUUACACCCAAUCUUCCUUGUUUCUGUCAAUAAAUUAGUCACAUACUUUUGUUGAUAGAUGAAGAUCUCUUGUGUGGAAUAUGCCACCUCAAUAUUGAGGAAGUGCUUUACUUUCCCUAGUUCCUUUAUCUCAAACUCUGUUGCUAAUCUUUGCUUCACUUCAUGCUUUUCUCUCUCAUCAUUUCCAGUCAUUAUGAUGUCGUCAACAUAGACUAGAAAAGCAAUUACUCCCCCUGUAGCCGAGUGCUUAAUGAAGAGAGUGUGGUCACCUUGGCUUUGCUUGUACCCAUACUCUUUCAUGACUUUUUCAAAUCUCUCAAACCAAGCCCUAGGAGAUUGUUUUAGCCUAUAAAGGGCCUUUUUCAGCCUACACACCUUGUUACCUAUGUUUCCCUCAAAUCUUGGUGGGAUGUUCAUGUAAAUCUCUUCAUCUAAAUCACCAUGAAGAAAUGCAUUCUUAACAUCAUACUAUAGGAGUUGCCAAUUGUAGUGGGUAGCCAAGGACAGUAGGAUUCUUAUAGUAUUCAUUUUUGCAACUGGAGCAAAAGCCUCCUGAUAAUCAACUCCAUAAGUUUGAGUGUACCAUUUGGCUACCAAUCUUGCUUUAUGUCUCUCAAGAGAUCCAUCAGUCUUAUAUUUCAGCGUGAAAAUCCACUUGCAAUUAACAAUGUUUUUCCCUUUCGUCUUUCAACAAUCUCCCAUGUUUUAUUAUUUUCUAAUGCAUUCAUCUCCUCUCUCAUAGCAUCCUUCCAUUCCCUUUUUGUCAAUACCUCAGAAACAGUGUUAGAGAUGAUAGUGGUGUUUAAACUCACAAUGAAAUUCUUGUGGGCUAGUGAUAGGUGCUUAAGAGACACAUAGUGUGAUAGUGGAUAGAGUGGUUAAUUAGUGCAUUAUCCGGUGCCUUUUCUGACAGCAAUGAGAAGGUCUAGGUCUAGGUUGUCUGUUGAGUCAAUGGAAGUUUCACCAAGUUGUGUAUGUAAAGGUGGGUCUAAUCUUACCGUGAUUUCAUUCCUAGGAUUUGAGUUGGAUUCUUGGACCUGCUAUUGUUCUGGAAUGACCUUUUCCCUUUAAUACAUCUUAGGAAACUGUGGAAAAUUACAAGUGACACUGGUUGGAAUAGGGAAUGACACGGGUUUAGUGGUAAAAUUGGGUGACUCAGGUGUGAUUAGUUCGGAUGACUCAAGUUCUUCAUCACCAUGGGUUGAGACAUGAGGAAGGUUAAGAGGUUCAAAGGAGUCACAAGGACUAUCCUCCAUCAUUGAAAUCUCCCCCUAAAUAGAGGACUUGGGAAAAAAGGUUUAUUUUCUGUGAAGGUGACAACUGCAGAGAUGUAAAAUUUUCUGGCUAAGGGAUUGUAACACUUGUAUCCUUUUUGAGUAGAUGAGUAAACCAAGGAAGACACAUUUUAUGGCUCGGGGGUCUAGCUUGUCUCUAUGAUGGUUGUGGACAUGAACAAAUGCAAUGCAUCAAAAUACACUAGGAGUGAGCCCAUAUGAGGUUCUAAAGUGUGGAUAGAAACUCUUAAGUAUCUCUACGGGGCUUUUGUUGUCUAACACUUGUGAGAGAAUUCUAUUUAUCAUGUAUGUGGCAGUAAGAACAGCUUCCCCCCAAUAGGACUUAGGAACAUUCCCUUGAAAGAGUAAGGCUCGGGUUGUGUUGAGUAAAUGCCCAUUUUUUCUCUCGGGUAUCCCAUUUUGUUGGGGUGUGUUAACACAUGAUGAGUCAUGGAGAAUGCCCUGUGAUUGAAAAUUGGGUGACAAAGUAUGGUUAAAGUAAUCUCUAGCAUUGUCUGUCUUAAAACUUUUUAUUUUAACCCCAAAUUGGUUUUGAACCAUUGAGUGGAAAUUAGGUAUAACAAUGCUAACAUCAGAUUUUUGUUUAAGAAGAAAGAUCCAUGUAAUCUGAGUGCAGUCAUCAAUUAAGGAUACAAACCAACGAGCCCCAUAAACAUUAGGUAUAGUCGAAGGACCCCAUAUGUCACUAAGAAUCAAAUGAAAAGGAUGAGAACUUCUUUUAUUGCUAAUAGGAAAAAAUUCACGAGUAUGUUUUGUCAAUUCACAAGUUUUGUAAUGAAACUUAGAAAUAUCUAAUCCUUGAAACAAAUGAGGAAACAUGACCUUUAAAACCCUAAAAGAUGGAUGACCUAGACGUAGGUGAUACAACCAAAUGGUAUCUUUAUUUAAGGAACUCUAAAAAGACACACAAAUUAUUACUAGUUUUCUGAGAUGAUUCAAGGUGAUAAAGACCGCUCAUUUCCUUAGCAAGUCCAAUCCUCCUUCCCGAGCCUUGUUCCUGAAAAACACAAUAAGAAUGGAAAAAAAUAGCAGAACAUUUAAGAUCAUGGGUAAGCUUUUGAAUGGAAACAAGGUUGGCCGACAAUUUUGGUACAUGGAGGACAUUUUUAAGAAUAAGGGUAGGUGUGAUAUAUAUGUCUCUGAAACCUGCAACGGUAACUAAAAAGCCAUUGGCCAUUGCAAUUUUCUUGUUACUUGGGUUUGAGGUAUAGGUAUGGAAAAGUUGAGAUUUGGAGGUCAUAUGGUCUGUGGCACCGAAGUCUAUUAUCCAAUAGUCAUUAUAAACCUUGUGUGAGGCAUUUAUGCAAAAUGAGAGUGAAGGUGUACCUGAAUUUUCCAACAUCUUCCACGAAAAAAAAAACCUGAUCUCUUGGGAAUUAAGGUAGAUCGCGAAACAAAAAAACCAGCAACAAUGAAGGUUGGUAAAAGAACACGUGAAUAAAAAAAAUCUAACUAUGAAGGCCAGAAAAAUGGCGAUGAAGGCCAGAAUGAUGCCCAGGUCUUAAAAACCUACUGCUCUGAUACCAUGACACGAAAUGUGGGAUGAAAAAUAAUAAGUUUUGUAUAUUAGAUUGACUAUAUACAUAGUUUAUAUUGGAUAUUAUAAGAGAAGAAAUAGGAAACAAGAGACAUAAUAGGAAACUAACUUAUUCCUAAAUCAUAAAACUAUCUAUUUACAAAAAUAGGAAACUAACAUAAUAGGAAAAUAAUUCUCCUAUUCUAUUUACAGCUCAAUUACAACCUAUUUAUAGCUCAACAUUAAGUUAUAAAACUAUUUUAUAUUCUAAAGAAAAAAAAAAUCUAUUUUCAAAAACAAUAUCUAUAUAAGCAUUUUUCUUUUAAGUAUGAUUUUAAAAUGUUUUUCCAUGAGUCUAAUUGUUGCUAGGAUUUUGACCAAUAAACAAAUAUGUGUGACUUUCCUCGUCAUUGUAAUUUAUAUUUGGGAAAAAAAUGGGGAUUUCAUCAAAAUAUGAAACUUAUGUAACAAUUAUUAGCAACCUAAAUAUAAAUAAAACUAAAACGGAGAAUUUACUUGUUUAUGGAAUAAAUAGUUGAAAAUUUUAUAAGCAUUGAGGAUGGUCAUAAAUCAUGUUGUAAUUAAUAAAAGCAUUUCUAGGUUAUGGAACUUGGGUGGCAAAUUGGUAGAUUUCUAGCCAAACUAGUAUUUGUCUCUAUAAUAAAAUCUCUUAUCAUAAAGGGUAAUGAUACUUUAGAAAGGUCAACUUCAAAUUGGGCCUUUAGAAGCAAUUAAGAUAUUUACAUUAUUUUAUUGCAUGUAUACUUGACAUGACAUAAUGAAAUUUUAUUUAAACAUGCAAUUCAACACAUUUUUAAUUUACAUUCUAUUUGACCUUAAUUUAAUGGCACCGAACGAAACUAAGAAUCAUUCUAUAAUUUCCAUUUACUUCAUCUUUGUUUUCUUUGACAAUUGAUUGUAGCUCACUGCAUGUUUUAUUGUACUUUAUAAUGGACAGAUUUGAGUCAGAGUUUAUUCAAGAAAUCAUUGGUGAGAUUCGAAGAUUAACUCCUAAGUUGGUACAUGUUGGUGAGAACAUAGUUGGAAUGGAUGAAAAUUUGAAAGAGGUGGAGUUAUUGAUAAACGCCCAAUCAAAUGGAGUGAGCAUGGUUGGGAUUUAUGGGAUUGGUGGGAUUGGUAAAACUACCAUUGCCAAGGUUGUUUACAAUGAUAUGUUAGAUCAAUUUCAACGUCACAGCUUUCUUGAAAAUGUGAGGGAGAAAUCUAAAGAUGAUCAUGGUUUGCUUGAAUUACAAAAAAAACUUCUUUGUGAUAUCCUAAUGGAGAAAAAUCUGAAGUUAAGAAAUAUUAAUGACGGUAUCAAAAUGGUAAAGAGGAAGUGUCGCAUUGAAAAGGUUCUCAUUGUUCUUGAUGAUGUAGAUUGUCAAAAACAAUUAAAAUUCUUAGCUCCUAAUUCUGAAUGUUUUCAUCAAGGAAGCAUAAUCAUCGUGACCACGAGAAAUAAACGUUGCCUAGAUGUACAUAAGUCAUAUUCAUCAUAUGAGGCUAAGGGAUUAGCACACACGCAAGCUAAGGAACUCUUUUGUUGGAAUGCCUUUCAGCAAGACCAUCCCGAGUAUGAGGACCUCUCUAAUUGUAUACUAGAUUAUGCUAAAGGCCUUCCAUUGGCUCUUGUAGUUUUGGGUUCUUUUCUCUAUCAAAGGGAUGUGGAUUACUGGGAAAGCACACUGCAUAAACUAAAAACAAACCCUCUUGAGGAUAUUCAAAAGGUACUCCAGAUAAGUUAUGAUGGACUAGAUAAUAAAUGGAAGGAGUUGUUUCUUGAUAUUGCAUGUUUCUUCAGAAAUGAGGAUAAAAAAGUUGUUACAAGAAUACUAGAAGGUUGCAAAUUCCAUCCUAAGUCUGGACUAACGGUUCUUCAUGAGAGGUGUCUUAUUUCUAUAACAGACGACACCAUAAGGAUGCAUGACUUGUUACAAGAAAUGGGUUGGGCAAUUGUUCGCCAAAAUUUUCCAGAACAUCCUGAAGAAUGGAGCAGAUUGUGGGAAUUACAGGAUAUUAAAAGUGUUUUACCACAAAAUAAGGUAGGAGAAAAAUACAUGAACUUACUUGAGAUCUAAAGACAUAUAAAAGAUUCAACAAGAAUUAUUUUUAUUAUUAUUAUAGUUUUGAGUAUCUUAUCUAUAUAAUUUUAGUGAAUCCCUAUGCAUCUUAUAUUGCUUAUUCUCAAUGCUUGUUUUCAGGGGACAAAAAACAUAGAGGGGAUAUCCAUAAAUCGGUCUUGGGAUAGUAAAAAACGUAUACAACUUACUGCUGAAGCUUUCAGAAAGAUGAAUCGACUUAGAUUGCUCAAAGUUAAAGGCGAUAUGGUGCAGCUUUCCUAAGACUUUGAAUUGCCUUGUCAUGAUUUAGUAUAUUUUCAUUGGGAUAACUACCCUUUGGAAUAUUUGCCAUCAAAUUUUCAUGUAGAAAAUCCUGUUGAACUUAACCUCUGGUACAGCAACAUAGAACAUCUUUGGGAAGGAAACAUGGUAUUGCUAUUAUUUAGUUAUAUUUUUGCUCUAGACUAAUUUUAAAGUCUUUUGAAGUUUACUUAUUGAAACGAAUUUUCUUCUGUUACAGCCUGCUAAAAAGUUAAAAGUCACUGAUCUUAGUUAUUCCAGGCAUCUGGUUGACAUUUCAAACAUCUCAAGUAUGCAAAAUUUGGAGACUCUAAUUCUAAAAGGUUGUACAAGGUUACUUAAGUGUUUCACCCAUGCUUAAUGUUAUUAUUAGUCAUGAACUAACUGUUUUCUUGAAUAUAAUAGGAUGCAAGAGACUUGAGAGUCUUCCAAGGAACUUUCAUAAGCUGGAAUGCCUUCAAACACUCUCUUGUGAUGGCUGUUCAAACUUAAAAGUUUUCCGAAGAUCAAGGAAGAAAUGAGAAGUCUAAGAAAGCUUAAUUUAAGUCAUACAAGUAUAAUGGAAUUAACAUCAUCAAUUAGGCAUCUAAAUGGGCUUGAAGAGUUGGACUUAAGUAAUUGCAAAAACCUUUUGAGUCUUCCGGACAGUAUUGGUAGUUUGAACUCUCUUCAAACUCUCGAUCUAGUUGAGUGUUCAAAACUAGUGGGUUUUACAAAUAUCAAUAUUGGAAGUCUAAAAGCUCUUGAAUAUUUGGAUUUGUCAUGGUGUGAGAACCUUGAGAGUCUUCCAAAUAGUAUUGGUAGUUUGAGCUCUCUUCAAACUCUUUUAUUGAUAGGGUGUUCAAAAUUGAAGGGCUUUCCAGAUAUCAAUUUUGGAAGUCUAAAAGCUCUUGAAUUGUUAGAUUUCUCACACUGCAGAAACCUUGAGAGUCUUCCUGUGAGCAUUUACAAUUUGAGCUCUCUCAAAACUUUGGGGAUUACAAAUUGUCCAAAACUCGAGGAAAUGUUAGAGAUUAAAUUAGGGGUUGAUUGGCCAUUUUCACCUCUAACCUGUCACAUUUCAAAUUCAGCAAUAACCUGGUAUGAUGACUGGCAUGACUGCUUUUCCUCAUUAGAAGCAUUAAACCCACAGUGCCCCCUGUCAUCACUGGUAGAAUUAUCUGUAAGAAAGUUUUAUGGCAUGGAAGAAGACAUCCUCAGUGGCAGUUUCCACCUAUCCUCAUUGCAAAUAUUAUCUCUAGGGAACUUCCCUAGCGUGGCAGAAGGAAUCCUCGAUAAGAUUUUCCAUCUAUCCUCGUUGGUAAAAUUAUCUCUUACUAAAUGCAAGCCAACGGAAGAAGGAAUCCCUGGUGAUAUUUGGAACCUAUCUCCACUGCAACAAUUAUCUCUACGUGACUGCAAUCUAAUGGAAGGAAAGAUCCUCAAUCAUAUUUGCCAUCUAACAUCCUUGGAAGAAUUAUAUCUGGGUUGGAACCAUUUUAGUAGCAUACCUGCUGGCAUCAGUCGACUUUCUAAUCUAAAGGCCCUUGACUUGAGUCAUUGCAAGAACCUUCAACAAAUUCCAGAGCUUCCAUCAAGUCUACGAUUUUUAGAUGCGCACUGUUCGGAUGGUAUUUCAUCAAGCCCCUCGCUUCUACCUAUUCAUUCUAUGGUCAAUUGCUUCAAAUCAGAAAUUGAGGUAUGAUUCUCAUGCCACGUUCCUCUUUCUUUUGUACCCAUUGAAUUUACAUGGUGCUUUUGUGCAGGACCGCAAGGUUAUUAAUCAUUAUUCUUACUUCUGGGGCAAUGGAAUUGGUAUUGUUAUUCCUAGAAGUAGUGGAAUUCUAGAGUGGAUAACAUAUCGGAAUAUGGGAAGGAAUGAAGUAACAGUAGAGCUCCCUCCGAAUUGGUAUAAAAAUGAUGACUUGUGGGGAUUUGCUUUAUGCUGUGUUUAUGUUGCACCUGCCUAUGAAUCUCAGUAUGAAUUAGGUCAUAUAUCUAAGGAUGACGCUGAACUUGAAGAUGAAGGACCAGGGUUCUGUUGUGAUUUGAGUAUCGAAGGAAAUAAUCAAUCAGGAGACGUGGGUUUUUUCCUUCUUUAUUCUUGCUGUGUUAAAUAUGAUGUGUCAGAUAUGCAGUGGGUGAUAUGUUAUCCCAAGUUAGCUAUUGAGGAAAGUUAUCACACCAAUCAAUGGACACACUUCAAGGCUUCAUUUGGUGGUGCCCAAGUGGAAGAGUGCGGAAUCCGUCUUGUAUACACAGAAGAUUAUGAACAGAAGCAUCCAGCAAUGGCACAAGGCAGUACUUCUCAUGGGAAUUUUGGUGAGCAUGGAUCGGUAAGAGAAGAUACUGAUAGUAAGCUCACAAUAAAAGGAAUCCCACAGAACAGAGCCCAAGAGAGGAGUCACACCAUAAAAGAUCCAUAGAAACCCAAGACUGAUCCCAAGUAUUAGGCUCAACCACACUUGCAUCACUAAUGCUAUCUUUACUGGUAAUUCAUCUUCCUUUCUCUUUCUAAUUCAAAGGUCAGAAUUUUUUUUUAUCGUGUUUCUCCUUUUUAUUUGUCUUUUUCCCCAAGACAAACAAAACUUUGAGGCUAUCACCCAUGGGCGCAAACUUCAAUGGUACACCUCCCAAGUUUGUUUUUCUCUCUCUCCAACCGUCUUUCCCUAGAUUUUUCUGCAUUUUCUUCAAACCCAUAUUUCCAUAUGAAAUUCAAUUACAUUCGAGCAUUUCAAUCUCUGUAGCUACUGUCUGAAUCAUUUAUAGGGUUUCUUUUUUCUGGAAGUUUGUAAUGUUAUUGAUUUAAGACUUCAUGUUUGGGGAUGUUUUGGGUGGCUUGUUCACUGGUAUUAAUUGUGAUAAUUGCAGCUCUGGUGCUUUCAAUGACUUUGACAAUAGUCGAAACUAUGUUGAAUGCUUGUACCAAGGGAAUGGACUUCAGUUGCUCUAGGGUUAGUGCUAUAACAUCAGUAUUCACUCUUCAAGAAUGUAUAUAGUUGUUGUUUUGGAAUUUUGAAAUUACUUAGCAUCAGACAAUUUCUAACUCGGGAUUUGGAUUGGGAACCAUAAGUUAUCAUUAGAGAGUGUAUGAGAAGGAAUUUUAGAGUGAGAUGGGUGAUGCAUGUUGAGGGAUGAAAGAGGGAUGUAUCUCACCCUAGAGUUCUUUGGAAUAAUUAUAGGAUUUUGUAAGUAACUUUGGACUUACUUGCAAUGUUCUGGAUUUGUGAAUAAUUUAUAGAAUGCAUUGGGUUUUUUUUUUUUGUUUUUUUUUUUGGUCCAUAAGAAACUAAAAGAACUUUGAGAGUGAAUAAUGUAUGACUGUACUCUUCUCUAUCUCUCUGGUCAUAGCACACGUAUGAUUUGGUACUUUUUUGCAGGCUUCAACAGCAGCAAAGCAUCUGGUGGCUUGCAGUACUAAUCUUACAUUAUAUUCUCUGUUUUGCAAUCAUUUGGUACUUUUUGUCCCAACCAAGGAUAGCUCUGUGCAACAGUCUCGACUGUGGAACAAGUAAAACAAAUGGUACCUGCUGAAGCUGAGAGGGCAGAUAAUAAAUUGGUGCGGAAGGUGGUCAACCAAAAGAAUCAGACAGCAAAAACUAAAAAAGCCGAUGAAGCCUGCUACUGAAGCAGUCUCAGCACCUGUUUCUAGGAGGGGUGAGAUUGAAGUGACUGAAGAAAAGGAGCGUGAGCAAACAAAGAAGGAAGAGGAGUUGGCCAGGAAGGUAGAGGAAUUGAGAAGUGAAGAGGAAGCAGCCAUGUUGAAGGAGAAAAGUCUGUUGGAGGAGAAAGCCAACGUUAAGAAGGCAUUGGAAAGGAAACAAGGAACUGCAGAAAAGGCCAAUUUCUCUGUGAGUGCUGCCACCUUUUCGUGAUACAGCCAUAAUAAUGGAUGUUAAAAGCAGUCUAACUCUACAUGGCGUUUAUUUUCCCCAGCCAUAGAUUGGAAUCUGCCAGUCUGACUCUCAUAAGAAAGAAAAUUUUCCAUCGAUCCUCGUAUGGAUUAUUGGAGAAGAUUUUAACAUGGAGUUCACAAGAGAGUUUCUAACACCCACUUAAAAGGACAUUUUAG
rnacentral:lncRNA from 1 species